rnacentral:lncRNA from 1 species
GUUCUUCCUCCUCCUCUUCAUGUUCUUUUACGUUCGGUAAUGUAGGUGUUGGCGGUGGCGAUAAAUCUGAGCCAAAGGUGCCUAACAGGUGCAUGAGCUGCAACAAGAAGGUGGGGUUGACGGGGUUCAGAUGCAAGUGCGGGAGUACCUUUUGCGGGGCUCAUCGUUACCCAGAGAAGCACGAGUGCACAUUUGAUUUCAAGGCCUCAGGGCGCGACGCCAUUGCCAAGGCUAAUCCGGUGGUUAAGGCUGAUAAACUGGACAGGCUGUGAAACCACCUGGAUUGGUAUCUUCUUUAUAAUCAUCAUCUUCUUCUUCUUCUUCUUCUUCUUUAGGGUUCCUUUAUUUGGUUAGGGCUUUGUGGGAAAGCUGGUGGUUAUGGUGCUGUUCUUGCUUAAUGGUGGUUUGUGGGUGAAAGGGAUGGAUAAUACGUGGUGGUUGGGGGGAGGGGGGUGGCUUCCAUAAUAAAGUGGCUAAUUGAAUUGUUAUUAGUUGUAGUUUGCCCUUUUUUCUUUAUUCUUUUUAAACUUUUUCUUCCCUCUUUUUCUGCUCUGCUGCUAAACUACUUUAUCACAUCUAUUCUAAUAUCCAUACCUAGCUUGGUAUUUAGGGUUAAUGAGUAUCUGCAUCCUUUUUCUUAGAAUAUGGCUUCUGAAACAUUCUUUCUUAAAAAUAAAUAAUAAAUAAUAAAUAAAUGAAUACGAAAAGUUACAAAUUUUAAUAUGAUUCAACUUACAAGAUCUUGUUUUAAGAAUAUAUGUAUUUAAUAACAGCAGCAGCCCAUGGUGGCUUUCUUUGUUCUGUUCUUGGUUUACUGGUAGAGUUUCUUUUCUAUCAGGGCUUGAUCGAAGCAGUCCAAGGGAUUUUUGUCGUUCUUCUUAAGCGAUUUUCAUUAAGAACAAUUAUCAUGUAAUUGUUAUUUUAUCGUGGGGUAGGGAUGCUUGGCUGCCCAUGACCUUAAACCCCACUCUUUGAAUUUAAUUCAGGCAUAUUCAAUCAAUUAUUUUAUUUGAAAUUUAUACGACACGAGGAAAAGUACUUAAAAUUAAUAUGAAACUUUUUAUUAACAAUUCUUAUUUAUGAAUAAAAUUAAUAUAAUAAUUAAAUAGGUUUUAUACAAAUUUAAAAUAUAAUGUUUUUUAAUUAUAUUUAAUAGUUAAUUUAAAUUCACCACUGAAGUUUCAGCUGACAUUUUCCAACUUGUAAUUUAAUAUUAAAAUUUUGGCCAAUUAGUGAUUACAUUGUGUUUUUGUAGAAAAAAAUUAUGGUGAUGAUAUAAUGAUGAUUAUUGUCGCCGUUAUCCAAAAAUUGACUGGAGGAUCUGUUGUCCAGUUUCAAGGGUAAAUCCACGUGUUUAAAGGCACAUCAAUUGGGUGUCUUGUUUAAUUAAGAUACACCCGUAAUAAAGAAGAUAUGCGACAUCCAGCUCUUACCUAACUGCUCUUCACAUGGACUUUGGAAAGAGAUAAUAAAGAAAAGGAAAAAAGGAAUGGUUGAUGAUGAGCUAUUUCAUUUUGAGAAAUGAGGUAGUUGGGAAUUGGCUGGCUUUCAUCAAUCUUCAUUUAGCAAUGCCCCCCCACUUUUGAAAUUGGAACCUUGCCCAGAAGAUACCUUUUGAACAUUGGGGUUGUGUUCUUCUAGUUCGACCAAAGGUGCCUUUUCUUUUUCACCCUUCACCCCUUCAAAAGGUAACCUUCUCAAAACAACAUCGGCUUGUUAUUGGUUUGCUCCAAAAGUAGUCUGUCGUUUAUAUUUGAAACUUUACUAAUUCAAUGCCAAACACCAUCUAACUUCUUUUAUUUGAAAAUGACUGGAACUCAAACAGGACUUGAAUGAACCCAUAUCAAUCAAAUAAGUCAAUUUUUUUAACUCCAGGGUUGGCGUGGGAUUGAAAUGACUGUGAGAAGAUGGUUUAAACAAUUACAUGGGCUCUUAUUUCUUGGAACAAUCCCACUACGAAAGGUGAGGACUUUACUUGAAAGAGUUGUUUUAGGCCUGAGCCUUAAGGCUUAAUGAUUGGAGAGACAUGGAAAAAAGGCAUACAAAAAGGGCAAUUAUUGGCAUUUUCAGCCUACCCUUUCUUCUGGGCCUGGGCUUCACUGGGUCUUCAAACCCGAGACCACCCUGCUAAAUUUAGUACAUCUCUGGUGCUACCUGCAUUCAUUUUGUUGGAUAAGCAUUGGAAAUUCAAACUCAGGGCCAAGAAGGCAUCAAAAAAUUGGCAGUGAGUCUAUGCAACAGUCCAUUUAUGUACUACAUCCUUGUAACAAGUCAAAAAAUGGAAUGAACAAUCUUGUCAAAGACUCAUGGUUGCCUUCCCCUUUUAGUUACUGUAUCAGAAGGUAUGCUUGGCCCCAAUAUGACUGCUAAUAUACUUUCCAUACUUUGAAUAUAAAACAAUCAGAAAACUCUUAUCAGCUUUGAUUCUCCUGUCCCAAAAAUCCACUCAUUGAAUCAAUGAAAAUGAGCAAAGAUGGAAACUCUCUGCAACAUAUCAUGUGGAUCAAUGAAAGGGGAAAAACAUUAAUAAAUAUCUUCACUGCAGUGUCCUGUGGGAUUCAUUAUGAAUCUUGGCUUGGGUGUGAGGUAUAAAACAUUGAUUUUCUUGCUUACACUUCAUGUGAAUAAACAGGAGAGAAGGAGAGAAGGGAGCUAUAUGACAAGUGCUCUAAGACUUUGAGAACCCAUGUUGAGGACCACAGGGUUUGAAACUUUAGAUGAAGAGUCUUAAUCAGGACAAAGUAAAAGGCAAGAAGAAAAAUAAAGGGUACCCAUAAGGCCUGACAUGGUGGAUCAGACCAUGUCCUCUCCGUUAAUUGCAAAGCUUGAGAGGAUGAGCUCUAAAGGUAAUGAAUCAGGAGUGGUGAUGGAAAUCCCUGUCAAACCAAUUUGCCACUUUCUCUACUUUCUGUAAGGCUACAUGCCUUUUGGACUCUAAAAAAAAGAUGAUGAAUGGUUCACUUUAUGCAAUGUGCAAUGAAACUCAUGAUAUAAGAACUCACAUUGCCCCUUAUCUGCCCCCCCCUGGCUGUCUUCUUGAACCACCCAACAGUGAUCAUGACUUAGGUCCACCUAUGUGACUGCAUUUUGGAUGUGGCAUGGCAAUUGAAAGAUUCCUCCACGGUUUUCACAAUCUUUAGUCGAUCUAGGACUAGACUAUCUAAAUGUACAAGGUUUAUCCCAUCUACCAUAACACCCACCCUCCAUUGCGGAGCUUUGAUUCACCCCAAAACUUAUAAUAAAAUAUGAUAAUCUCUAAUUGCAUAAAGUAACAUGAUCGCAUGUCCAACAAAAGCAAAUGUAUUAAGAAAGAGAAUGCUAAAGUUGUAAUUUUGAAACUACAUAAUUGAUUUGUGAUUAUCAUAUACAUUAGCAACUUUUUAGAUUCUCCGACAAGAUUGUUCUAAUCCAAUAUUUCUUCGUUAAGGUUAAGUAAAAUCGUUGAAUAUGGGUGGGGGGCCCUGAUCAAGGACAUGUUAACAACUAGAAAGGUAAGAGAGUUCAUGGGUUAAAAUCGAUCUGCUUCAUUGCAACCACAUUAAUUUUGGUAGGUGGGUCUAUGAUGCAACCUCCACCCUCUCAAAAUCUGCAUGUCACUGUCUUCUCAAAUGUGACUUAGGGCUCACCCUCUCAUGUCUUGAUAAUUCAUUGUAUGCAAAUGGUUCUAAUGGGGUUGCCACCCCCAUGUCCCAUCACGUGAUUAGAAUUUUUUAUUUAUAAGAAAAAUUGAUCUCAACCAUCCAAUUAUUAAUAGAAAAGACUUAAUAAUGUAUUGCCAAAAAUACAGAUCAUUUGUACCUUCUUGUGGGUGCACCCAUGCCUUUACCUUUAGCAAAAUUAAACUUUCUCUUUUCCUCGAUUGCCUUGUCUGAAUCACAAUUGGGUCAAUUUCAGUGGGACAUGGCAUAAGAUGAUGACCUUUCAAAAUGGGAUGAUUUUCUAAUUAGGAGUUUUCUACUCAAAAUUCAAAAAUACGUUAUAAUUUCAAAUGUUAGUAACUACCUUUUCGCGCCCAUAGGAAAAUUAAUAUAUGGCAGAUUCCAAGGAUAUACACUUUAGCCUUUUAAGUGCUAAAGCUAUCCCACUCCUUUAUAACUUUUCUUUUCUUUUUUUUGGGAAGAUUUUCAAACUAAUUUGUCAUUUUCAAUAUGCAAUAAUAGCCCUUGUUAUGUUUCAUGAUUUACCCAAAUGCCCUGUGAGGAUUCUCCCCCCACGAUCCACACAACAUACAAAAGAGUGAGUGGGGUGUUGUCAAUUUUGUAAAUGCACCAACAAUAACUAGACGACCAGAUAGUUUUUGUUUUGUUUUUUCUGUUUUUGUUUUUCUUAUGUUGAGACUAAAAGACCAUAAAGGGCUUUCUACGUACGUUGUAUUUUCUUAUCAAUCUUUUUUUUUAUUUUUUAGAUAGUAAUCAAAAUUCCAAAAUUUCUCAUCAUUUUAAGAGUAUAUUUGAAAAUAAAAUUUUAAAAACGUUUUCAAUAUUUUUAAUACUUAAAUAAUAUAUAUUUUUAAAUAUUAAAAAUAUUUCUUAAAAUCACUAUUAAACGAAAUCUUAACUAUAAAUAACAUGUAAUGUCUAUCACACUAUAUAAGAUAGCGAUCUUGUACAUGAGAAGGAAAAUUUAUGUUUUACAUGUGGGGGUGUCGUAUAAAGUGGGUAAAGAUAAUGCUGAGAAUUCAAAGGUGGCGCAAGUUGACUGUAAGAGUGGACUCUUCCGCCACAUAAUAGAGGGUGGGAUGACACAUAUCACGUCAAACGCUGAGUGUUAUUUAUAAGAAAAGGGGCAUUGAGUAAUGGUAAUGGAGUAGGAAAGAAGAAGUGUGGAAAGUCUCAAUUGCAGGCAUGGUGUCUUGUCUCUUCGCUGUCUCCUUUUGAGUGUGGGAGAGUUGAGGAGGAGAGUGACGGCCUUCCUUUAAUUUCCCCAUGCCAACCACAAGGCUACAAUUCUAAGCAAAUAUCUUUCUCUUUUUAUUCUCUAUUAAUUUGUCUUUAUUUUCCAUUUCCACAGCGCUUCCCCUCUGUGUUAAGGGCCCGUUUGCAUGGAUUUUUUUAAAAAUUAGAAGGUUUUUUUUUUUUUUUAGUUUAAUAAAAUUUUUAAUAAUUAUUGGGUGGUUUCGUCAUUUGGCCUAUUCGCAUUUCCAUGGGACUAUGGGAGUUACACAACGUGGAUACGGUCGGUGAGUGAAAUUUAAAACGAUCACGAGGCUGGUUUUUGAAAAUAUAUCAAACUGUGAAGGGUAGUUUUGUAAUUGAGACUGAAAAAUUAAGAAGAAAGUGAGGAACUCGGGACCCGCCGGGGUAUGACCAGGCCAUCUCUCUCUCUCUCUCUAAAACGCGGAAUUUUCUGGCUCGCAUCUCACACGAUUCACUCCACUUUCUUUCAAAACUUUCUCGCUCUUUCUUUCAAAUUUGCUCGGAAAAUUUCACUCCAGGAGUUCAAUGGCUGCGACCCUUUGAGGCUUGGGAUGUGAAAAUGGCGGCUUCGGGUGGUUACAGAAAUGGAACUCACAAGGGCAAUAUGAAGGUGGAUAGGCUGGUCUCCCUCAGUUCCGCCACCAAGUCUUCCUCUCUCAAGUCCAAGCCUUCCCCAGCGUCGCCCGCUUCUUCUGGGCUCCGCCGCAACAGCACCGGCUCUGUCGGUGGAGCAAAAGACGAUGCUGGAGGUCAGUUCUCUCUAUCUUUUGAAGUGGGUUUGUUGUGGUUGGUAUUGGGUUGUGGGUGUGGAGGAGUGUGAGUUGGUGUUCUAAAUUUGGUUGGAUUGGAACAAAAACGUUAAAUCGGUGCUUGUUAUGUUUGUAAUGGGAAAGCUAUUUUGGGAAACUAGGGGCUAUGUGAAGGAUUUGAUUAGGUGAUGGGCACCUUUAAAAUCAAGUCAUCUGAUAAAUGGCGCAAAAGAAUUCAUAUAGGGAAGCCCAAGUGGACAAGAUCGAUACUUUGUGGAAUGGAGUAGGGAGUAUUUGCUGAUUUGCUAACUCGUGUUCUAUUUAUUUUGUGUGAUAAAAAUUUGUCACCAAGAAUUGGAGGUUACACAGGAUCGUUUGGGAUUUCUAUUAUAAAGUGAAUUAUUGAGACUUGUAAUAAAACUUAUUUCAAAUGGUAGAAAGAGAGCAAAAAGGUAGACCAUUCUUCACGGUAGGACCUCUCUAUUGUGCAUGCUAUUAGGAAUCGGAAGAAAUUUUCUCAUAAAUAAUGCCAUUCUAUUGGUGUGAUGACUUGUUUCCAUUUUGGUAGUGCAGAAUAACUGAUUCCUUUAUGGAGACUUAGCCUUUCGUGAAAUAAAUUCCAAGUCAUUUUAUGGGUGUGGAUUGUGAUUCAAUAAAAAGAACUUAAUAAAAACGUGAAGAGGUGCAGUAUUCUGGUAAUAACAUUAAGAUCAACAAUGGUGGACUCGUGUAAUAUUGGCAGUAAAAAGUCUGAAGAGCCAUCAUCUAGAAGGUUUUCUUAGUCUGGCAUUAAGACAGUUGUCAUGCAUGAUCAUGAUUCAUGGAUGGUGCUGAAGAAUCAUGUAGGUAGACCUCUUCCUCACUUUCUUAUUUCGAUAUCCAUUUUGCCAAUACAUGGAGUCGAUUUUAAUAGAUGGAAUAAAUACUUGAAACAAAAGAGAUCUAUGUUCUUUUCUUAAUAUCUAUUGACCAAUGACCAUCACUGAUGAAAUCUCAUAAACUGGGAAAAAUUGUAAAGAAGCAACAGGAUCAUGAUUCAUAAAUGCUUAACAAGUUUGAUGCCUCUGUCCUUCCAGAACAAGCAUAUGCUUACCAACAAAAGAAGGAAACCUUUAAACCUCCCUUUUUAUUCAUGAGGAGAGCUCUAGCUUAAGCAGAAUGGUUAAUCUUGCCAUACUACUAUGGCUACUCCUACUACUCAUAUUGCUACUGAUUGUAAGUAUUAAUGCUGCUACACCUUAUUCCUAUGGCCUCUGCUAGCAUUACUUUAAGAUGUGUUUUUCUGAUGGUAAUGCUUUCUGUGGCAUAAGCAAUGUGUACAUAUUAUUAAGUAUCUUCUCAAAUUUCAAAAAGUAAGCUUUCUAGUGUUCCUCACAUCCAUUGAUGUUGCAUAUAAUGGAUAUGACAAACUCCAAUUUGAUAAUUUAAUGUUCUGGCAAUAUAAUAUUUCCUUUUACUUUAGACACCUAGCCAGUUGAAAGGAUUUUCUGCUUGAUCUGGGGAGUAUAACAAUUCCAUAAUUAAUGGGUAUUUCAAAUAUUAUAAAUUGAUCCCCUUGUAGUCCCAGUGUAGUAAGGUUGCACCCCCUUUUUUUUGUUGGAGGCUCUUCAAUCUAAGUUUCUGUUUGCCUAUCAAUAUAACAAAUUGAUCCUUUGAACAACGAUUUACCGACUAGUAUGGUGCUGCAUGGCCACUUCAAAAUGGAUGAAGUAUUUAUAUUGGAAAUUACAUGACAUGGGCAUGGUAUGUCUCUGUCAUGCCUAUAAUUGGAUACAUACUCAAUAAGCAUGUCUAAUAAUGGAAUAGAGAAAUGCGUUUCUCAUCCCCUAUAUGUUCUUUUUUGAUAGUCUUUUUUAUUCCAUAUAUGUUCUUUUUUUUAUGAUUAAUCUUUCUUCUUUGUUGCAUGAAUGCUUCAAUAAGAAUGAAGUACCCUUGCUGGAUAUGCAAAGUUACAUUUAAUUUCAGUUCUAGGUUCAGAAAAGAAACAUGGACACAUCAAUGGUUCAGACAUGUCUCCUCCAUCCUCUGAAAUUUCAGGAUUAAACACAUUACACAUAUGAAUCCCUGUCCUCCCUGUCUGGAGCUGUAAAUUUCUGUUUGUUGGAAGUCAUGUUUUUGUUAAGGAAAGGGAUCAAGCUAGUAUGUAACAAUAACAAUCACCAAGAAAUUUUUCCAACAUUUUUCUUUUGUUAAAAGGCUUUGAUGGUGUGCUUUCGUAUUUUUAUGCUGUAUUUUUAACUUUUAUGAAUGCUAAAUAUAGUUCCUGGGAGGGUUCGAGUGGCUGUAAGAUUGCGACCGCGGAAUGCAGAGGAGUUGGUGGCUGAUGCUGAUUUUGCUGAUUGUGUAGAAUUGCAGCCAGAGGUGUUCUUGAUGUUAUUUUUCCUGUUAUAGAAUCUAUACAUGCAUACAAUAUCCUUUUAUUUUACUGAUGGUUUCUCUGUCAUUUUCAUUGUUUGUUUGCUCCAUUCAGCUUAAAAGGUUAAAACUUCGAAAGAACAAUUGGGACUCAGACACCUAUGAGUUCGAUGAAGUGCUUACAGAGUUUGCAUCACAAAAACGUGUAUAUGAAGUUGUUGCGAAACCUGUUGUGGAGGUGCAUGGCUGUCAAAGUUGUCAAUUUUAUCAUAAAUACUGUAGUCAUUUGCAUCAGUUCUGUUAUUUUAAGGCAUAGCAGGUGCAUGGAUAGUUGAAUUUUUCGAGUUUAUAAUGUUGGUUUCUUCUAUUUGUGAUCUAUGAUUGCCCUAGAAGCCAUGGCUCUUAGUUUUUUUUAUCAGCCAAACAGAAUGGCAUCAGUCUUGGAAAGAUCAGCUUUGAUAUGGAAUACCAUCUAUAGAAGAAGGAAAAAAUAAAAGACAAAUUUGUUAACUUUCAACUCCGAACAGAAUAACAAAAUAAUGAAUAUCAAACUUAAAAAAAGAAAACUAAAAGAAUUAGCAGAUAGUUAAUAUCAUCUCUUAUGGUUUAGGAUAUUGAUUUUCAAAAAUAAAUCAAAAGUAUUUAUUACAGAAAAGAAGAGGCAAAAAAGAGGAGGCCGCAGAGAGGUGCAUGUGUGAGUGUGGAAGGGGGCCUGCUGUUGGUGAGGGGUGAGCAAGGAGUGCUGAAAGAACAAACUCACUGUAUAUCACUGCAUUUCACUUUGCUACACUACCCUAUUCACACCAAAAUUAUGAAAUAGAUUGAUUCUUUGGGAAAAUUAUCAUUAGAAGAUAUUAUUUCAAUUGAUUUUUUUUUUCCUUUUUCCUUUUGCUUUUGAUUGACCACUUCUUGCCUCUGUUAUUAAUGUCUUGUAUUGGAUAUUUAUUAUAAUAAUUAUUAUUAUUUUAUGCAUGAAAUCCUUCAUCUGUUUUCACCUUUUUUUCACUCCCAUGUCCAAGAAAAUUAAAUAUAAAUGUUUAUUUUCCUUUUUAUUUGAGUUGGAUGAUUUUAUACUAGUGUGAUCUGUCAUUAUUUUUGAUGGAGGCCAUCUAAGUCAUACUUUUGAUGGCAAUUAAACUUCAGACAGCAGGUUUUCAUAUGUUGUUUGCUUCUACAGAGUGUUUUGGAUGGUUACAAUGGAACAGUCAUGGCAUAUGGACAGACUGGUACUGGGAAAACAUACACACUUGGGCGACUUGGAGAGGAAGAUACUGCUGCGCGUGGAAUAAUGGUGCGUGCAAUGGAGGAUAUUUUAGCAGAAAUUUCUCCAGAGACUGAUUCUGUCUCAGUCUCCUAUUUGCAGGUUGUUAGCCUUAAAAAUAAUAUUAAGUUCAUGCUUAAUUUAUUGUUGUUGUUAUUUGUUUAGUAUAUUGUUGCUAGUUUAUGAAAUUUUCACUUUUCAGUUAAGCCAAUUUCAUUUCAUCUUGUAAGGGAUCUUUGAUAUAUUCUAUAAAGGCGUUUUUCAGAUAUAAUUUGUCUGACGUUCUUGUUCUUUACAAAUAUCUUCAGCUUUAUAUGGAAACCAUUCAGGACCUCCUUGAUCCUACUAAUGACAACAUAUCUAUCAUGGAAGACCCGAAAACUGGAGAUGUUUCACUACCAGGGGCCACCCUAGUAGAAAUCAGGGACCAGCGGAGUUUUGUGGAACUGCUACGGUUAGGGGAAGCUCACCGCUUUGCUGCAAACACAAAAUUGAAUACCGAAUCAUCUCGUAGUCAUGCUAUUUUGAUGGUGAAUCCUUAUCUGCUGAUGUUCAUGCUUUUCUUUCUUGAGCACUUAUUUGGAUUGGUUGUUUUAUUCUAAUGGAGCAUUGAUGGAUUUCUCUUUUGCUGCAGGUACAUGUUAAGAAAUCUGUAAAGGGAAGGGAUUCAGCUCUUUUAAGUGAAAAUUGUAACAGUUCCCACAUGGUUAAAACUUUUAAGCCACCUGUUGUUCGGAAAGGGAAGUUGGUUGUGGUAGAUCUUGCAGGUUCAGAGCGUAUUGAUAAGUCAGGUGUGUAUGAUAACUUAUGGAUAGGAGAAUUAUUUCUUUUCCCUGAUGACUGAUUGAGCUUUCAUGAAUAUGUAAAAUCAUGUUUAUAUUUUUUGAAUUGAAAGUGAUACCCUCCUGUUUUGGUUGGCUGGUGCCAUCUCAAUCCAUGGCUUGAAAUGUCCUGUUUAAGUUGGAGGAGCAAAAGCUCCAAGUUUGCAGUUUUUUUUAUAGUUAAUUUCAAAAAAAUCACUUUUAGCAAUAAUAGGUUUAGGGCUCAUGAGCCCACUAGCUUAAAUCUUUGGGAAUGAGAGAGUUGGCUCUUUCAAUUGCUAAAUUUUAUUUCUGUUUGCGAAUUGUAUUCAACUGUAACAAUAAUUUUAAAUCAUAUUUCAGCAUGUUCAUACAAAAUUAGCAUCUCUUGUCCAGUAGAAUGUCUGUUGAGGAUGGAGAAGUUGAGUUACGGAGUUCAUUGGUUAUAGCAUCUUGAGGAAGAGAUCUUUGCUUUGGGAUUUUUUUUUUUGUUUUUUGGGCACUUCCAUUUUUGUUCUUUCAAAUAAGCAGAAGAGACAAAUCAAAGUAUGUAAAAUCAGUAAACCCAUUUUUUAAGAAAAACAAAAAUUCUAAAUGUUAUAUUAUUAUAGCUGUUCCAUUUUUAGUACUUUGCUUCUCAAUUACACUUCAGAGUUUGCCAUUUGUUUGUUAUUUGGCAGGAAGUGAGGGACAUACAUUAGAGGAAGCCAAGUCUAUUAAUCUUUCUUUAAGUGCUUUGGGAAAGUGUAUUAAUGCACUGGCAGAGAAUAGUGCACAUGUCCCGGUUCGUGAUUCAAAACUUACAAGAUUGCUUCGAGAUUCAUUUGGAGGUGAGUUGUUCAUGCAUAUGGUAAGCGAUAUUUCUCCUUUUGGUGUGGUCUUCACUCAAUUUUAUCAAACUUUCCUGGACAUGGUUUUCUCAUUUAAACAUAUUUAUUGAUUUGGAUGAAUCUCAGCACUGAAGCUUCCGAAAGCUCAGAUGAGAAAGUCUUGAGUCUUAUACUCUCUUUGGGAAGUGUUUUUAAAAAUAAUUUUUGAAAAUUGUUCUUUGAUAUUUUGCGAAACAAAAGUCUGGUAGGAAAUUUAAAAUAUUCUUAACCUGUUUUCUAUUUUUUAAAAUAUGUUUUAAAAAUAACUUUUAUUUCUGGUUUCUCAGAAAAUUGUUUUUUGCUUUCUGAUUGUCAAACAUGUUUCUAUGCUUUUUUGUUUUCAAAAAUAGAAAACUGUUUUUGAAAAUAGUUAUCAAAUAGACCCUUAAGUACUUGAGCCCCGUUGUUACAUGUAUCCAAAUGCAAUAAUUGGCUGGAUAAUAGAGGACUGGUGCAAAAAUGUUAGUGGCUAUGGAGAGAGGUUGGCAAUCCCAAGGGACCCCUUCCUCCUACUCACUAUUUAUUUAUUUAUUUCUGAAAUUUCUUCAAUUAAAUAUAUAAUUUGCAGUUGAACCCCUUUAAAGUAAUGAUUUUACUCACCCAAUCAUAUAAUAUUCAUAUGAGUUUUAUGAGUACAAUAAUAUCUUCAAAUUACCCCAAAGAACAACUCUAAUUUGCAAGUCAGCCCUUAAAAUGAUUCAAAUCUUGUUUUAUGCCAUCCCUACCAAAUGAUAUAGUGCCUUCAGGAAAAAUUUGUAUCUUGAUCAGUAUUAAGGACAAUACUUUCUUCCUUGGCCUUUUACUCUAAAAUGGUAUUCUCCUUUUGAAGAUCCUUCACUCUGAUGACUAUUUGCAUCUGCUAAAAAAAUAGAUAGCUGUUUUAAAGAAGAGGAAGAGGAAAACAUGGAGACAAAAAUGGGAUUGACUGCAGAAUUUUUUUACAUGUACCAUAGGAAGAGAGAAAUUAUCAAGGAACCAUUUUUAGCACAUAAAAGACUUAAAAAUGAUGGAAUUAUCCCUGUCAAUAAUGGCUCCCAUUUAAAAGGGAUUAUUUGGUGAUUUAGGCAAUUGGAGUAUAUUCCUUUUGAAGUAGAGUUUUUCAAAGCAGUUGGAGAAAUUUAAAAUGGCUGGUCUCAGCUUGCCUGUUCAUGCUGAUAUCCUACAUAUUGAAUCUACUGGAAAGUGCCUGGGUCUUGAACCACUGAAAAUCUUGCCAAAGUUCUAACAAUUAUUUUUAAGGGGGCAUGUUCUAUUUCCUAGCAAGCAGACAGAAAGGUUCUGUCAUAGAUUUUCAAUGCUAUUUCAGAAUUCUUUCUAUUUGGUAGCAGUCAGUUCAUCCUUGGCUGUAUCUUCUAUUUUACAUAGAUGUGCUGAUUUAUCCUUGUGUUUAUUUUGACGCAGCAUUUAAAAUAUUUUAACCUUUACAUUAUUCCAGGCACUGCAAGGACUUCAUUGGUUGUCACUAUUGGUCCAUCCCCACGUCAUCGUGGAGAGACAUCAAGCACCAUCAUGUUUGGACAAAGGGUAGGUUCCAAACUUAUAGCCUAAUUUUUUUCCUUUUAGAGUUAUCUAUAGUUGCAAUCCUUGUCAUGUAUUCAAUUUUAUGGCUUUUUUUAUUAAUACCGUUGUUGCAACCCAAUAAUAUCUUUGUGUUUUGACACGGAUGAAAAUAUCGGUUUUUACAAAUAUAUCGACAAUUAUAUUUUACGGAUAUAUCGGUGAAAGAAAAUUGAUCAAAACUAAUAGAAACAUUAUGAAAAACUCCAAAAAAAUGAUAGAAGAAGCAAUAACACACUUUAUUUAUAUGUGACAUAGUUUGUGAUAUUCAAUGCACUAAUAAAGAAUAUAAAUUUUCUAAGCAUACGUCCAAUAUUGAUUUGUAUUAAGUAUUUAAUUUCAUUAGAUGUAUGUCAAUAAUUUAUAUAUAUUACAUUAUCAUAUUUCCAUUUAACAACAAAAUGAAGAUCGACGUGAUUCUGUGGCACUAUGGAGAAUCUCAUCUUAGUGGAAAUAAUAUUGGAUAUAAUUUGCAAUAUUCAACACUAAUAUGUAAAAUUUGAAAAUGAAGAUCAAAAAAAAAAAAAUAUGUAAAAUUUGAAAAUAUAUUUAAUAUUAUAUUUAUUGUGUGAUACAUAGAUAAUUUUUUUUGAUAAGUAUUUUUCAGUUUAAAAAUAUUUAUAAUUUUAUUUAUAUAUUUUUAUAAUUUAUUUUGCAUUUAACUCAUUAUUUUUGCAUUUUCAUUAAUAAAUUAAAUAGAAUUUGAAAAUAAGAUAAAUUAAUAUUAAUUAAUUUAUUAAAAUUUUAUUUUAAUAUUUUAUUUCUUAUGAAUUCAUAUAGAAUUUAGAAAAAAAAAUAUUAUAUAUUAAAUAUAGGAUAUAGGUUGUUACAAAGAUGGAUUGUCCAGUUGGUUAGCUGCAACCUCUUCCACAUAUUAUACCCAGGUUUAAGGCCUAGCUUGCAAUUUACUUUUUCCCAAAAUAACAAAUAUGAUAAUAAUAAUAAUAAAAAAAAAACACCUGGCUUGCUUUUACGGUUUUACCACAUCACAGAGCCCCUUUGGCCCAUUCAAUUUUUCAAUUGAAAUCAAAGGAAAAGAAAACUUGGCAUGCAUUGACCACGCCCCUUGCCCCUUUGACUGCUUAAAAAAUCGGGAAAAAUUCUGAUAAAUUGGGAAAAUCCCUAUAAAUUGGGAAAAAUCAAGAAAAUUUCCUGAUAAAUUCCGAAAUUUCCAUCAGUGGAAAUAUCUCCUGCAUGUUUCAUGUUGGGCUCUGCCGACACUGAUAUAUCCUCGAAAUAUCGCCAAUUUUUUGGUGAUAUUUCCAUUCUUGGUUUGACAUUCCUGUUGUAUACUUGAAAUUUUAAUUUCUAAUGAUGCAAUGUAGUGGAUAUUUUUUCUGUGGGGAGUUUGCUCAUGCAUGAAAUUAAUAUUUUUUGCUAAUACUUUUUCCUCUAGGCUAUGAAGGUGGAGAAUAUGUUGAAAAUAAAGGAAGAGUUUGAUUAUAAAAGUUUGUCUAGAAGGCUUGAGAUUCAAUUAGACAAACUCAUUGUGGAACAUGAAAGGCAGCAAAAAGCAUUUGAAGAUGAGGUUGAAAGGAUAACUGUAGAAACACAAAAUCAUAUAUCUGAAACUGAAAGAAACUAUGCUGAUGCGUUGGAGGUAAGUGCAUACAUAUAAAAGUUUCAUUUUUUUUUUUUUUUUGUUUUGAUAUGAACAUCAGCAUUGUUUUAAGCUCACACACAAGUAUGCAUAUAUUUAUGCAUUACAUAUAUAUGUAAUAGUUAUCUUUACUCGUGAAUGAGCAGGCUCAUAGGCUAAUAGCUAAUGAUACAAAUAUUUGAUUUUGUUAUCAAGUAGCUGCUGAAUUGGACACAAGCUGCUUUGUUUGUUGAACCUGUACUAUUUGUUUAAUUAUUAAGCUAAAUGCUGUAGCUCUAAGGGUUGUCAUGGAUGUUUCAUGAUUACUUGUCGAGAAACUGUUUAUGAUAAAAAUACGUACAAUAACUUCUCCUAGUUCUUAUAUUUAUUUUAGAAAUCCUCAGUCUAAGGUGGUUAGUUUUCCAUUCUUGCAUGUUUAAUUGUAUGAAUGUUGUUUGGCCUUCACACGAAUGUAGCUUUUGUGGGAAUGUACAUAAUUUCUUUCAAUAUUUGUUUUUUGCUUUUAUUCUUAUUAUUAGAAGUUGGAAUUUUUUUAUAAUUGAGAGAUAGGUCUUGGCCUAGUGGUUUUAUCAACCGUAGAACUUCAAUUUAGCAAUUCAUAUUGAUCAUGCUUGAUUUAGUGCCAUUUGUUAGUUUUAGGUGCUAACUUAAUGCUUCUUAAAAUUAUCUUGUUCCUUUUCAGAAAGAAAGAUUGAAAUAUCAGGAAGACUACAUGCAAUCAAUAAAGAAGCUUGAGGAGCAAUGGGUGAUGAAUCAGCGGAAGCAUGGCAGUGAAAGAACCACAUUUGGGCUCAAAGAUGAUAACUUUGAUAAGACACUUAAUGGAGUGGUAAUCAUAUUUUGGAAUUAUAUAUCUUGUCAAAGAGUAUGGUUUGUAAUGGACAAACCAUGGCAUUCUCUACUCUCUCUCUCUCUCUCUUUCUCUUUGUGUUACCGGAUUUGCUAGUUUCUACUUGCAUUGGUUGUGAACCAUUUUUCGGGUUGGUGGUUGGAUGUGAAAUGCAGCAUAAAAACCUAGCUUGAAGGAUAAUCCCUCUACAUUGUGAUUUGCUUGUGGAAGAAAAGUAGAAUAUUUAAAAAUUUCCAAGAAAUAAAGUAGUGAUUGAAAACAAUAUGAAUCUUAAAAUGAAUUAAGAUAGUUCCCUUUUCCUUGAAGGUAUUAUCUUGUUAAAAAGUGAAUUCUAGGGGAUUAGUGAUUAGUGUAUGUAUAACAAAAUUCAUUGUCUUUCUCGAUAAUGAAAUUCAUAGCAAAAACAAUGUUUAGUGAAGAUAGAAAUAUAUUUUUGUUUAUUAGAUUACCUAUUAAAAACUAGAUUAACCAUUUGAUAUUGUUUGAUCCAAUGGUAGUGUUAAUGGUGACAAUGAUGAUGGAAAUGGCAUUGGUGAGGGUAAUGGUGGUGGUGGUAGUGGUGUAGGUGAUGAUAGUAAAGGUGGUUAUGACAAUGCUAGUGGUGACCAUGAUGGUUAUGGGAGAUUGGUAUUGGCGGUGUCUUGCUUAUGUGAGUGACAAAGAGGUAGUGUGGUAUUGCUUGUGUCUUUUUGGUUAUGGUGGCAAUGAUGAUGGUAGCCAUCGGGUAGUUAUCUAAUGUCUUCAUCAAAUAGAAAAAACAGGGUCAAAGAAAUUUUAUAUUUCAUUCUUAGAACUUGGAAAAGUAUCAAAUUCUUAAAUUCUUAUGGAAAGUUUGGAGUUCAUUACGAAUAUAAGAGAGUUCCUUUUCUGAGAGUGCAUUCUUGAAUCAAUAACCUCACGCAAAUUUCUAGAAUGCAUCUUAUAUAUUUUGGAAGGAUUUCUCAUCUUUUAUUAUAAUUAUUAAUUCAUAUCUAUGAAUUUGUUGUUUACGUUAAAAAAUGAAAAAAAAAAAAAAAGAACAAAGAAAUAGGCUCUAAGUUGGAAAAUUUUGUAAAAUCUGUUACGUUUGGGCUUCUUGUUUAGAGAAAUUUUUAAGGGUAUUCUUUUAUAGUUUUCAGAACUUGUUGGUAAGUGAUCCUAUAUUGUUUUAUAUACCUUGCCAUUAGACAUCAUUUUGUUGGCUUCUAGAGAUAUUUACCAUUUUGUUUUAAGAGGGGAUUCAAAGGGCACCAUUAGGUGAGUUGGGCUUCAUUCUCAUGUUGCAUAGAGGUUACUUUGCCUCAUUGGGGAGAUUAUUAACCUUACUAGUGAUUUAUGGCAACCUUGGGAUGAUUAUCUACAAGGUCGGUUAGGGUUUCAAUCUUUUAGGAUUUAAGGAAUAGAGAACAAGAAUAAAAUUAUAACAUCAGGAAAAAGAAUAAAAUAAAGGAUAGGAAAAGAAAAGAUAAAGAAGAAGGAUAAGAAACAUUGGAGUCCUAGUAAAGCCUUCUAGGAGUUUGAUGUGUAGAAGAAAAGUAAUAGAUUCCCACCAUUAAAAUUGCAAGGUAUGCAAAAAAAAUUAAUAUUAUUUAUCAUCAAUCAUUCAUCCUAUUUUACAUCAAUUAACCUUCUAGGAGUUCUAGGUUUUGAGACAAGGUGUUGUCUCCUUAUCUAUUUGUGUUGGGAUGGAUACCCUAGGUAUUCAAAUCUUUUGAGAAAGGUCAGGGAGGGUUACUUCAUUUCAAGCUUCAAGGUGGGAGGUAGAAGCAAAAAGGGUGUAGAGAUUUUUCACCUCUUAUUCAUUGAUGAUAUACUUCUCUUUUGUAAGCAUUUCUCAGACUAGGUCAUUUAAAUGAGUUAGGUUUUGUUUUGGUUUGAAGCUUCUUCAGGGUUGAGAAUUAGUCUAGACAAAAGUGAAUUAAUUCUAGUGGGAGAUGUCCCUAAUGUUGAGGAGCUUUCCUUUUUGUUGGUUAUUGGGAGGGAAAGUUUCAACUACUUACUUAGGCUUACCCUUGGCAUCUACUUUCAAGUCUCCAACUGUGUGGGAUGUGGUUGAGGAGAGGUUUAAUAGAAGGUUAGUUCUUUGGAAAAGACAAUACCUGGCAAGAGGUGGUAGACUCACUUUACUUGAAAAUACUUUGUGCAGCUUGCCUAUUUAUUUAUUUUGUGUCUCUUUUUGUCAUUCCUAAGGCAAUGGCUUUAAGAUUGGAAAACUUAUUAGGAUUUCUAGUGAGGUACGGGGGGGAGAGCUCUUCAAGAAAAAUCCUACCUGGUCAAUUGGUCAUCCAUUUGCAAAGAUAAAAAAAGGAGGGUUAGGUAUUAGGGUUUUGGGCUCUCUCAAUAAAGUCUUGCUUGACAAAUGAUGUUGGAAAUUUGCUUUAGAAAGGGAGUCCCUUCAGAGAUAAGUCAUAGUGGUAAGGUUCGGAAAAGAAUUGGGACACUAGUGCUCUCUUGUAAGGAGAGAGGGGCAUGCUGUUGGCUUAUAAAAGGCAACAAGAGGAGGUUGGGGAGCCUUUAAGGGUAGAACAAGAUUUUUGGUAGGUAACGAAAGAAGAAUCAAAUUUUGGCAAGAUGUUUGGCAUAGGGAUACUCCUUUAAAGGAUUUCUUCGUCUCUCUUUUCUUUUUUGCAGCUAAUAAGGAGGCAUGGGUGGUGGAUGUUUGGGAGGUUGUAAACGAGUAGGUUGCUUGGAACCUAGGCUUCGUAAGACAAUUUCAUGGUUGGAAGUUGGAUAACAUUGAGGAGUUACUUAGGAGACUUAAAGGGGGCAGCAAAGACAACAAUAAGUUGAUUUGGAUGGUUAUCAAGAGUGAGAAUUCCUUAGUGAAUUCAUUCUAUUCUACAUUGGUUUUGGAUGAAGAAGUAUAUUUUCCCUUGAAAAUAGUGUGGGGCUCUUGUUUGCCAUUAAAAAUAGGUUUCUCUGCUUGGGAGGUGGCAUGAGAAAGGAUCUUGAUCUUAGAUCAGCUUAAGAGAAGAGGAUAGGUAUUGGCAAAUCAUUAUUGUUUAUAUAAGAGUUCUGAAGAAUCGGCCAACUAUAUGCUGAUUCAUUGCAGAAAGGCAAGGGGUCUGUGGUAUUUUUUGUUUUCUCUCUUUGGCAUCUCUUGGGUUCUCCCUUCUGUGAAAGAUUUGCUAAAAGGAUGUCACGGGAGUUUCAUGAGCAAAAAUAGAAGGAAGAUUUGGAGGACAAUAUCUCUUCGCUCAUUUUGAAUAAUUUGGCAAGAACAAAAUCGAAGAUCCUUUGAAAGAAUUCAAUAAUCAGAUCAUGUGCUAAAGGAGUGAGUUCCUUCCUUGUACCCUACUCCAAUGGACCUAUCAGUAUAUUUAGGAUAACCCUAUAUCCUUAUUACAAUUUAUUGAUUGGUUAAGUGCUAGAUAGUGGGAGAGGGUGUGAUUGAUUGUAUGUUUAAUGUGGCUUUUUUUUUUUGUUGUUUUGGAACCCUUUGUAUACCUCUUAUGCAUGUAGGGCACCAUCCCCUCAUUUUGAUUGGCGCUUUUUAUAGAUAUUCUUGCUUGCCUAUCUUGUCGUGGGGGGGAGGGGUGGGGUAAACUCGUAAAUUUUCUAAAUAUUGAAAUUAAAAGAAAAUAGAAAUUUUCAUUUAAGAAUUAGAGACUUGCUUUGUAGAGAAACUUUUGUAACAAGAAUUUAUAGUAAAGAAAACUUCUUGAUUCUAAUGACUCAAAAUUGAAACUUUUGCCAUUUCGUUUAAGGAGGAUUCUAAAACUUCCUAAAUUCUGAAUAGAACUCAAAUACUAACUACUAACAAAUUAUGAUCCUAAAGAACCUAAAAAAAUGCAAAAUUAUUUAAACAUUGUUGAUAAAGUAACUUGAGACUUAUUUAUUUUCUUUCUUUCAUUUCUUGAGUAGAUCUUGGAUAUUCAGCCCCAUCAACUAGGCAUGUCAGUUUGCUUUCAUAGAAUUUUGUUGCCAAUGGUCUUUGCCCAGACUACCUUGUAGGCAUUGUCUCCCUCUGGAGAGUGGUGCCUUUGAUGGUCUAUUGUAUGUUUUUCUUCCUCUUUUUUUGUUUCCUUGGAGAAUGUCUUUUUCAUUCUUUUAUUCCAUUCCCUUAUCUAAAAAUAUGUUUCUUGCCAAAAAGAGAAAAAAAAAUGCUCUGACUGCUACUUGUUGACCUAUCGCCUGAGUAACAUCCCCAAUCAAUUUCUUUGUGGUGUGUAGGUUCCUGUGGCAUCUGCUGCUGAAGAAAUAGCAGAGCUCAAAAAAUUGCUUCAGAAUGAGGCUUCUUUAAGAACAGCUACUGAAGAGGAAGUCAAUAACCUUAAGAGCCAAGUAGUUCAGUGGAAAAGGAUUGAGGUGGUCAUGCACUAUUUCUUCUUUUGGAGUCAUCUAGUUUCCUGUUUUACAAUUUUGGUGACUAGGUUGGUGAUACAUGAUUCUGCAUUUGGUAUAAUAGGCAGCAGGAAAUUCUGAGAUAUUAAAACUUCGCAAGAUGCUGGAAGAUGAGGCACACCAAAAAGAGAAACUUGAAGAAGAAAUUGCAAUACUGCAAAGUCAGUUGUUUCAAUUAAGUUUUGAAGCUGAUGAGGUAUGCAGGUUGUGGAUUAUAAGUAUGUUUGUUAUGGUUUCAACUUGUAUUUCUGAUUGCUGCUGAUGCAAUAUAUAGGCUAAGUUGUGUUAUAGUUUGAUUCAUACUUCUGGGUGUUUCUCAAGGGAAUGAUUUGCUAGUGGUAUCUUCUUGUUUGGGGAAAUAGUUGAGCUUUUAAAAAUUCAUGCAACAAAGGGGAAAAAAAAUUCUGAAUGCAAGAUUAGGUUAGACUGAUACUUAUUUACUCAUAAGAUAAAAUUAUGAAAACAAACAGUAGGUUAACAAGUUCAUGUUGUGUUGAAACACAAAGGAAAUGUUGUGUCAAGAAAAUGCUUCACUCUCUAGUGAUGAGCCCUUUAGAACAUACCUUAAAUGGUCCAAGGUCUCUAAUUUCUGUAAGGUCAUAUUCGUUAAUCUAGAAUAUGGAUCAUGAAAUUUAGUUUCUUGGAAUUUAUCAAAGUUAGUUCUUUGGUUGACUAAAUUUCUAGAAACAUGACUCAUGAAGAUACUGUUGAAAAUUUCUUAAAUUCCUAUUGUCAUAUAUUCCUUUUGAUAAAGAAUAUUAUAUAAAUACUUUAUAUAUUGGUAUUUCCUGGUAAAAAUAGGUUUCUUUGUAGAAUAAGGAAAGGUGUUACAAACAUCUAGGUCAUGAAGGAAAACUAAUAAGUAGAGAUGUGAGAAAAGUGGGAGACACUCGUUGGAGCACUACUCAUGGUUUAGGGUGUAGAUACUAGGAGCCAAGAACAUGAGAUCGUUUCAAGACAUGAGAGUUAUAUCUAUUUUCUCUUUCUUUUGCAAUUUCUCUAUUGUAAAGUGAAAUAUUUUCAUCAUCUAUGGAUGUAAGCAUACCACGUUAAAACCUUGCGUACCUUUAUGUGUAUGUUUAUUUAUUUAUUUUAUGUUAUUCUACUAACACAUAUCAAUGAAGCUUCUGCUAACACAAUAUAUACCUUGCAUCCACCCCUUAAACUGUGGGAAAUUUGUAGUGAUAAAAAAAAAACAAUUUAUUUUAGUAACUACACUUUAGUUUGGCUAGAAUGUGGGUGAUCAAACCGAUGUAUUUUGAUCAUUUGAAUAAAACUUGGAACAGUUAUAUCAAUAAGAGUUGGUGGGCUGGUAUGAUGACAUAAUGAAGAGGUCUAGAAUGGAAUUUUGGAGUGAAUGCAAGCCUCUAUAAGUUUCUGUUUCCCAACUAUUAGUCCUUUGGAAGUGGAAUAUUAUUCGAAGGAUACUUGUAGACUCAAGCCAAUUCAUGUUUGAACAAAUUGAGAUAUCGAAAUACUCCUAUUUCUCAUCCAAAAUAUAUAUGUUGAUCUACUUGGCACUUACAAUUGAAAUUCCUUCUGCAUCUGGAUGGCAUGAAACUUAUUUCUUGGGAAUUAUAAGAUGGAAUUCUUGAUUUGUUUGGAGUUGCUAUCCUUGGAAAUUGAAAUUCUCAGUAGCAAACUGCCCCAGAGACUGUUACUUCUGACAUGCUCCAGAACGCAUUAUAAAUUUGAAUUAACACAUAUCUAUCUUUAUAGACAAGCAGACAACUUGACAGAGGUGGAUCUGGGAAAGUUCUUGGAAAUCUGGAUUCUUUCGUGUCACAAAUUAGGCAUUCACAGCUUAGUGAUUCAGGAAAUGGGGAUAAGGCCUCGAUAGCUAAACUCUUCGAACAAGGUACCAUAAAAUGCCUGGUCGGAUUUUUACAGUUAAUGGCUGCAUAUACUUAAUAUUAUAGCUACCUAUUUUCCUUUGUUUCUUCCUAACAAGAUCCAGUGUCCUGACAGUGGGAUUGCAAAAGAUCUUGUCAUUGCUUGAAGCUGAAGAUGCUGAUGUGCGAAUUCAUGCUGUAAAAGUGGUAGCAAAUCUUGCCGCCGAAGGUGCCUUCUGACUUUUCAUAGCCUUCUGUUUCCAUUAACAUGUUUUAUUCUUUAAAAUAUUCUUUUAUCUUUUGUGAGAUAAGCAUAUUUCGGACUGCCUUCACAUACUUCCUAUGCUUCCUAUUUGAAGGUUACUUCUUUUGUUUCCCCUUUUCCAUUUGACGUGGGGAGAUGGAGAUCUGUUGAUUGAAAAAGUUGCUUACUUGUCAACAUUAUUUAUAAAAUGGAUAUCUGGAUGGCCUUUUGUAUCAUCCAAAUGAAAGGUGUAANNNNNNNNNNNNNNNNNNNNNNNNNNNNNNNNNNNNNNNNNNNNNNNNNNNNNNNNNNNNNNNNNNNNNNNNNNNNNNNNNNNNNNNNNNNNNNNNNNNNNNNNNNNNNNNNNNNNNNNNNNNNNNNNNNNNNNNNNNNNNNNNNNNNNNNNNNNNNNNNNNNNNNNNNNNNNNNNNNNNNNNNNNNNNNNAUCAUUUGAUGCCAUUCAUCAUGCUUAGACUGAGGAAAUGGUAAAGACAGAACUAGAAUUGUAGAGGGCUUGGUUGAAAUUGGAAGGGCAGUUGGGGAAAAUUAGAUAACUGGUGUUCGGAUAUGGAUGAAUCAUUGGGAUCACUUUUGGUAUGCAAAAUAGGGUCUGUUGUCUCCAUUAGCCUUUAAAAACUCUGGCUUUCUUUGGAAUUAUUGAAACAAAUGAUUCCAUCCCAUUCUGGAGUAAAUUAGUCUGAAAAAACGCUAAUGAAACUGAGUAUUGAGAUUACUGAUCAAGGUUGGAUAAUGGUUAAGUUGAUGGUACAAAAAUACAUCAGAACUACCAUGUUGCUUAUUCAUCUAUUAGGAGAAAUUUAGGAAGAUGGUUAAUUGUUCACCAUAGUGUAGUUAUUACUAAUUCUCUGUAAUUUCUAAAAGGCCUAGAAUUUAUGCAUGUAGUUUGUUUAAUUUAUGCCUCUAAUGAUGUCUUGAAUUACUGUAGUCAACACCAUUAAAUCUCAGCAUGAAUUUUGAUUUGUCUGCUUUUCAAUGAAUAAAUAACAUCUUCAUGUGAUAGUUGUAGCUUCUAUGAGGAUAUUUAACAUGAGUAGAAGGAUUGGAAAAGGACAUGUAGGGUAGAGAAAACUUGUGCUCAUAGCAAGUGAUAAAAUGAGGGAUUUUCAUUUGAGAUUGUUUUUAAUAUUGUCUAGAGAAUUCUAAACAACAAAUGCAUGGGUGUGAGUUAGUACGAGGAAAGCCGCUGAAAAAGUAACAGAGGGAGGUUUUGUUGGAAUGAACAGGGUAAUAAAUUUAGUAAAAAGAAGGAAUUAUAUCCUCAUUAGAAAAAGGAAAGAAAUGCAAAGAGGAUGUGACCUUUGGUUGGCUAAAACUGACAGGAAGGUUUAGUUUCUUAUCCCAAAUUUCUUGAGGAGCCCAUCUACAUGGCAGCUUGGAGUUAGCCAUGUGGAAAUUGCUUGAGUAGUCAUGUGUGGGUUUGAUCAUCUGGUCCCAUGAAAGUUAACCCAAGAGUCAUAGAAUACCAAGCUUGCUUGGAACAUUUAUGUAUAUUAAAUCACUACUGGUUUUAUAAAUAUAGUUAUUUGCAAUGUUGUGAUUGCUAUUAUUCUAUAUCCUCAACUUGGCCUAUGAGAUCAUGCUACAAUGGACCACUCUCUCUUGCUGAAGAUGAUCAUUUCAAUAGCUGUUACUAGUUUCCAUCCUUAAUUAUCUGUUAGCAGUGGUUUUUACUUCCCCUCUAAUUUGCAGAAACAAAUCAAGAGAAGAUUGUAGAGGCUGGUGGUCUUUCAUCCUUACUGAUGCUUCUUAGAAGCUCUGAGGAUGAGACUAUACAGAGAGUUGCAGCAGGUGCAAUUGCGAACCUUGCAAUGAAUGGUAAAUCAUUAAUCCCUUGCUUUCUAGAAUAUAUUUGACAAACUUGGUUAAUAUUAUUGAUACUUUUGGAAUUGGGUUUUUUGACAUUUACUUUACCUUCCUUUCACGUUUAACCAUUUUAUCUGUCCAUGCAGAAACCAACCAAGAGCUUAUAAUGUCUCAAGGAGGCAUUAGUUUAUUGUNNNNNNNNNNNNNNNNNNNNNNNNNNNNNNNNNNNNNNNNNNNNNNNNNNNNNNNNNNNNNNNNNNNNNNNNNNNNNNNNNNNNNNNNNNNNNNNNNNNNGACACAGCCAAUGCUCCUAAGGGAAUGGUAGUUCCAAUGAAAAUAAAAAUCCAACUAUUUAGAUAUGAUUCCUACUGCUCUAACUGCUACUGUAUUGCAUUGUCCAGAUAAGUUACAGAUAAAGCUAAGAGGCGAAGGUGGUAUUAAGGCAUUGCUAGGAAUGGUCAGAUGUGGACAUCCUGAUGUUCUUGCACAAGUUGCUCGUGGAAUUGCAAACUUUGCAAAAUGUGAGUCCAGGGCAUCAAGUCAAGGUAAUAUGCUUAGAAGGAGGCAUUUCUGAAGUCUUUAAUUGUUGUAGGGCACAAACAGAACUGCUAUCUUGGUUCUUAAGCAUAACUUUCGAACCCCCUAGAUGUGUUUAUGCCAUGUUGACAAAAUACUCUAAAUUUUCUAGAAAGUCUAUUUUCAUGGAGCAUGCUGAAGUCACCGUCAUUUCUAAGUUAUAGUGCAAUCCAAAGAACUUCUCAAAUGUAAAAAAUAAUUGUUGCCUUUUAUUGUUUUGUGUUGACACAUGGCAUUUCUGCUCCUACUGCAUCAGGAACCAAGAGUGGAAGAUCGCUACUUAUUGAAGAUGGUGCACUUCCAUGGAUUGUACAAAAUGCUAACAAUGAGGCCUCACCAAUCAGGCGCCAUAUUGAGCUUGCACUCUGCCAUUUAGCACAACAUGGUAAGUUGACCUUUCUUUGGAAACCUGCAAAUCUCUUCAUGCAUCCCCCCUGAGAAGGCUUGAAUUUCCACAUUUCAGAAGUGAAUGCAAAGGACAUGAUUAGUGGAGGUGCCCUCUGGGAGUUGGUCCGAAUCUCACGAGACUGUUCACGCGAGGACAUAAGGACUCUUGCGCAUAGGACACUAAAUUCUAGCCCCACCUUCCAAACUGAAUUGAGGCGACUCCGUAUAGAGUGUUGAUGGAUAUUUGUGGAAUAUUUGAGGUUGGAAUGCAAGUGUGGAAGAUUGGAGAAGGAGCUUUUAAACUCAAGUUAGUGUGGGACAAACAAACAGGAAUGCUGUCAUCAGUGCCCCUGUUCAAGUUUUGUUAAGAGUGGGUGGGUAGGUUGGUGUUUGUAGCCUUUAUUUUUAGCUGAUUACAAAUGGACCCUUAUCUGUUAGUCAAUUUAUUACCAUGUAAUUUCAUUUCUUGUAUGGAUAGGUUCGCCUUAGUGAGACCACUCCAAACUAAGCUUCUAACUAUUGUAUAAAUUAGUUUGUAUAUGAAAUGAAAAGAAGAGAAAAAAAGGAAAAAAAAUAAAAUAAAUAUGUAAUGUUGUGGUAUAUAGAACACUCAUGUUACAGAGUAGUUUGUUAAAAUCUUUUACUUUCCAUCAUAUUUCCAAAAUUCAAUGUGAAUCUCCUCAUCUAUAUUGCAUGGUAAGAUUGUGAUGUAAUUGAUAAUAAUUUUUUUAGAUGCCGAGUGGUAUGAACCGCCCAGAAAGCAAGAUCAAUGAUACCAAUGGCUCAGCAAUCACAGAAAUGGAUAUGGAUCCCUUGCUUGGGCAAUUUCUUCUGUGUUUUAUGGGUGGAACUGCUUAAAUGUCAUAGUUUUUCACGUGCAGGAAAGUGCUAUGCUGCUGGUCCCUUUUCAUUACUGGGAUGCCACUUUUCCAGCCCCACAUUCUCUGCAUGGCUCCUCAAUAUCAGAGACAUAAUGAUAGACCCACCCAUCCAAUUAUUUUCGAUUUUCAUUGAAGUUGUUUACUUCUUUCCUUUUUGCGUAACAGAAUUCCAAUGAUGUCUAUGGACAUCUAAUGAUGCAUCACUUGUUAUGCAAUCUCCAUAUGGCCAUGAAAUUCAACUUUCUCUGGAAACUAAGAGCGCAUUUUGUGGACUUUCUUGGAGCUGUCAUAGCCCCAGAGCUAGCCCACUGGUCAAAUCUUCACUCUGAAAUUACAAAUACCUGACAUUGAUAUUUCCUGGCAGCUCCACAACAAACCCAAAUUCCUUCCAUUCCUUUCUGUUCCCUUCUUUUUUAAGGCAGUGACAAUUGUUCCCAUAAGCCUAAUUGGGCAAAAAGAAAACCCAGAAAUAAAAUUUUUAUCACUACACAGGAGUUUGUUUUGCAAACAUGACUAAUAAAUUUGACUCAAAACAGUAUACGAUUCUUCACAUUUUUCCCAAGUCUUCACAUUUGAUAUUCCAAAGAAAAGAAUGUCCCUAUCAUAAGCCCAAAAAGCAAAAGAACAAACUCCAUGGACUCCCACAUGCACCCAAUCUACAUUCAUAUUACAAAUAGUAAUAAUAAUAAUAUUUCAUCCCAAAUUCAUCUGGAUCCCUAACGAACAUUACCUAGUUAUGUCAUUGAGUACUUCUUCAAAAGUAAAACUCCUAUAUAAACAAAUUUGGCACCUAAGAUGUACAUCUUAGAGGAUUUUUAAGAAGCAAUAUCAUAACAGGCAUCAUUCAGCAAGACAAUUACCGGCAUCAUAUGAUAAGAUGAGCACAUAAGAUAUAGUCAUAUGAAGCGAGAGAGAUGAUCGAUAAAGGCUUCGCAAGGGAGGGUUAAACAGGUGAAUGAAAGAGGAAGAAGCAAGAGUACUGCUGCCUACCUCCAUCAACUGGGGCACAACAAAACUUCAGUGUGUAGAACCAAAUGCCACUAUCCACAACCAAAUUAUGAUUAUCUCGAAAGUGGAGAGCCCCAUUCUAUCUGUCUAUAUAUAUAUAUAUUUACAGGCCUUAUAUAUGGGCACGAAGUUUGCACCAUGAAAGCUAGUCUACAUACUUUUGAGACUGACUAAAAACCAAUCAUUAGGGGGGAAUUAGUGGGUGCCAAAGCUAGCUUGGAGCUGAUAUUUUAUUUUCUUGAUGGGCCAGGAAAAAGGAAACUAAGAGAAAUGAUGAUAUUGGAGAUUCCUAAGUGAAACACUAAUUUAAAUAAAUAAAUAAAUAAGAGAAAAAACUAGGAAACUGUUGAUGCAUUAAGUGAAGAAGAAGAGGAAGAUGUAUCUCGACAAGAACAGCAAUGUUGAGGUGGAUGGUAAACCUACCAAACAAAAGAAAAUCCCAGCUUAUCAUUAGUAGAAUAAGACAGUUGGCUUCAAGAAUCCUAUCCCAUAGAAUGAAUUGAUCAACAAAGAAGAGAAAUGAUGGUGCAAAAGAAAAGCAAAAAAUAAAAAUAAAAAAAAUUGAAAAAAGUUGACUAUAUAUGAAGUUUUCCCCAUAGAAGAAUGGAUAGGAUACAGCUUUACUAAGAGUGGAGAAGUAGUAAUAGCUGUAAUGGAGAAAAGCAAACGAUAUUUCCUGAACUUUGAACAGUUGACCAAUCCCCUAUUUCCUGAAUCCCGACUUCUGAGAGAGGGAGAGAGAGAGAGAGAGAAUAUAAAGCUCAUCCCACUUUGUCCUGGCUGUUGCCUUUUUAUGGAAGUGUUGUUUGCCUCGAAAAGGAACUUGUUCAGAGCAGUGCACGUGUAAACCAGAAGGCACAUAUUAUUCAUGUCUCCAGGAAAAGACUCUUAAACUCACUAAAGAAAGCCAAAAAAAUGUGCAAACUCUAAGCCCAUACCCCUUUUUCUUCUCGUAAAUAGUUUGCCACCUCCUUGCCUCCCAUCGAAACCGUCGCUGCCUUUAGUGAACCCUCAUCCUCUCAUCUCCUCAGCUUAUCAACUGAUGAACUACAACACCAACAACACUGCUGCUCAUAUAUGAUCACAAUGUCUUUCUUGAGAUUUCUGUGAUGCUGAGGAUAUAUCAACAUAUAGAGAGGAAUUUCACAGAAAGAGAUGAAUGUGGGUUAUAGAUAUACACACACACACGGGAAUGUAAAGAAACAAUGGAGUACAAAUCAAGUUUUGUUUGAUAUAUAUGUGCGGGUAUGUGGGCGUGUGAGAGGGAGACUAUGAAUUGGUGAGGUGGGGGACUUUCAUAACCCAAUGUGGAUUCAACUGAUUAGAGCACACAACAGAAGACUAAUAUAUGGUUGCGUUUCUCCAAUUGGAGAGAUAUCACAUGAGAAAAUUCUUAGAGCUGAAAGAUCAAACAUGGAUGAGAAAGACAGUCAUUCUUAUUCUAGUGCUUCUAUGUUGUUUUUCCUUUUGUUGGAGUCCUUAUUGUCCCUUCUCCUACCUUCUUUCUUCUGCCCUUAAUCAACGGACCAAAUUGUGGUAGCAGUUAUUCCCAUAAAAUCAAACUCACGAACAAUCCAUGAAUUUACACAGUUUUUCCAUCAACAUGCANNNNNNNNNNNNNNNNNNNNNNNNNNNNNNNNNNNNNNNNNNNNNNNNNNNNNNNNNNNNNNNNNNNNNNNNNNNNNNNNNNNNNNNNNNNNNNNNNNNNUGUUGCAGGAGAAUCGAACGUCGUCGUUUUCCUUUUUGGAUACAGCGGGCGGUUCUUCCUCCUCCUCUUCAUGUUCUUUUACGUUCGGUAAUGUAGGUGUUGGCGGUGGCGAUAAAUCUGAGCCAAAGGUGCCUAACAGGUGCAUGAGCUGCAACAAGAAGGUGGGGUUGACGGGGUUCAGAUGCAAGUGCGGGAGUACCUUUUGCGGGGCUCAUCGUUACCCAGAGAAGCACGAGUGCACAUUCGAUUUCAAGGCCUCAGGGCGUGACGCCAUUGCCAAGGCUAAUCCGGUGGUUAAGGCUGAUAAACUGGACAGGCUGUGAAACCACCUGGAUUGGUAUUUUCUUUAUAAUCAUCAUCAUCUUCUUCUUCUUCUUCUUUAGGGUUUCUUUAUUUGGUUAGGGCUUUGUGGGAAAGCUGGUGGUUAUGGUGCUGUUCUUGCUUAAUGGUGGUUUGUGGGUGAAAGGGAUGGAUAAUACGUGGUGGUUGGGGGGAGGGGGGUGGCUUCCAUAAUAAAGUGGCUAAUUGAAUUGUUAUUAGUUGUAGUUUGCCCUUUUCUUUAUUCUUUUUUCUUUUUAAACUUUUUCUUCCCUCUUUUUCUGCUCUGCUGCUAAACUACUUUAUCACAUCUAUUCUAAUAUCCAUAGUCCAUACUACAACCUAGCUUGGUAUUUAGGGUUAAUGAGUAUCUGCAUCCUUUUUCUUAGAAUAUGGCUUCUGAAACAUUCUUUCUUAAAAAUAAAUAAUAAAUAAAUGAAUACGAAAAGUUACAAAUUUUAAUAUGAUUCAACUUACAAGAUCUUGUUUUAAGAAUAUAUGUAUUUAAUAACAGCAGCAGCCCAUGGUGGCUUUCUUUGUUCUGUUCUUGGUUUACUGGUAGAGUUUCUUUUCUAUCAGGGCUUGAUCGAAGCAGUCCAUGGGAUUUUUGUCGUUCUUCUUAAGCGAUUUUCAUUAAGAACAAUUAUCAUGUAAUUGUUAUUUUAUCGUGGGGUAGGGAUGCUUGGCUGCCCAUGACCUUAAACCCCACUCUUUGAAUUUAAUUCAGGCAUAUUCAAUCAAUUAUUUUAUUUGAAAUUUAUACGACACGAGGAAAAGUACUUAAAAUUAAUAUGAAACUUUUUAUUAACAAGUCUUAUUUAUGAAUAAAAUUAAUAUUAUAUUAAAAUAAUAUAAUAAUUAAAUAGGUUUUAUACAAAUUUAAAAUAUAAUGUUUUUUUAAUUAUAUUUAAUAGUUAAUUUAAAUUCACCACUGAAGUUUCAGCUGACAUUUUCCAACUUGUAAUUUAAUAUUAAAAUUUUGGCCAAUUAGUGAUUACAUUGUGUUUUUGUAGAAAAAAAUUAUGGUGAUGAUAUAAUGAUGAUUAUUGUCGCCGUUAUCCAUCCAGUUUCAAGGGUAAAUCCACGUGUUUAAGGCACAUCAAUUGGGUGUCUUGUUUAAUUAAGAUACACCCGUAAUAAAGAAGAUAUGCGACAUCCAGCUCUUACCUAACUGCUCUUCACAUGGACUUUGGAAAGAGAUAAUAAAGAAAAGGAAAAAAGGAAUGGUUGAUGAUGAGCUAUUUCAUUUAACUACUCUCUUUUCACAUUGAGAAAUGAGCUAGUUGGGAAUUGGCUGGCUUUCAUCAAUCUUCAUCCACUUUCAAAUUUGAACCUUGCCCAGAAGAUACCUUUUGAACAUUGGGGUUGUGUUCUUCUAGUUCGACCAAAGGUGCCUUUUCUUUUUCACCCUUCACCCCUUCAAAAGGUAACCUUCUCAAAACAACAUCGGCUUAUUAUUGGUUUGCUCCAAAAGUAGUCUGUCGUUUAUAUUUGAAACUUUACUAAUUCAAUGCCAAACACCAUCUAACUUCUUUUAUUUGAAAAUGACUGGAACUCAAACAGGACUUGAAUGAACCCAUAUCAAUCAAAUAAGUCAAUUUUUUUAACUCCAGGGUUGGCGUGGGAUUGAAAUGACUGUGAGAAGAUGGUUUAAACAAUUACAUGGGCUCUUAUUUCUUGGAACAAUCCCACCACGAAAGGUGAGGACUUUACUUGAAAGAGUUGUUUUAGGCCUGAGCCUUAAGGCUUAAUGAUUGGAGAGACAUGGAAAAAAGGCAUACAAAAAGGGCAAUUAUUGGCAUUUUCAGCCCACCCUUUCUUCUGGGCCUGGGCUUCACUGGGUCUUCAAACCCGAGACCACCCUGCUAAAUUUAGUAUAUCUCUGGUGCUACCUGCAUUCAUUUUGUUGGAUAAGCUUAGAAAUUCAAACUCAGGGCCAAGAAGGCAUCAAAAAAUGGCAGUGAGUCUAUGCAACAGUCCAAUUAUGUACUUCAUCCUUGUAACAAGUCAAAAAAUGGAAUGAACAAUCUUGUCAAAGACUCAUGGUUGCCUUCCCCUUUUAGUUACUGUAUCAGAAGGUAUGCUUGGCCCCAAUAUGACUGCUAAUAUACUUUCCAUGCUUUGAAUAUAAAACAAUGAGAAAACUCUUAUCAGCCUUGAUCCUCCUGUCCCAAAAAUCCACUCAUUGAAUCAAUGAAAAUGAGCAAAGAUGGAAACUCUCUGCAACAUAUCAUGUGGAUCAAUGAAAGGGGAAAAACAUUAAUAAAUAUCUUCACUGCAGUGUCCUGUGGGAUUCAUUAUGAAUCUUGGCUUGGGUGUGAGGUAUAAGGCAUUGAUUUUCUUGCUUACACUUCAUGUGAAUAAACAGGAGAGAAGGGAGCUAUAUGACAAGUGCUCUAAGACUUUGAGAACCCAUGUUGAGGACCACAGGGUUUGAAACUUUAGAUGAAGAGUCUUAAUCAGGACAAAGUAAAAGGCAAGAAGAAAAAUAAAGGGUACCCAUAAGGCCUGACAUGGUGGAUCAGACCAUGUCCUCUCCGUUAAUUGCAAAGCUUGAGAGGAUGAGCUCUAAAGGUAAUGAAUCAGGAGUGGUGAUGGAAAUCCCUGUCAAACCAAUUUGCCACUUUCUCUACUUUCUGUAAGGCUACAUGCCUUUUGGACUCUAAAAAAAAGAUGAUGAAUGGUUCACUUUAUGCAAUGUGCAAUGAAACUCAUGAUAUAAGAACUCACAUUGCCCCUUAUCUGCCCCCCCCUGGCUGUCUUCUUGAACCACCCAACAGUGAUCAUGAAUUAGGUCCACCUAUGUGACUGCAUUUUGGAUGUGGCAUGGCAAUUGAAAGAUUCCUCCACGGUUUUCACAAUCUUUAGUCGAUCUAGGACUAGACUAUCUAAAUGUACAAGGUUUAUCCCAUCUACCAUAACACCCACCCUCCAUUGCGGAGCUUUGAUUCACCCCAAAACUUAUAAUAAAAUAUGAUAAUCUCUAAUUGCAUAAAGUAGCAUGAUCGCAUGUCCAACAAAAGCAAAUGUAUUAAGAAAGAGAAUGCUAAAGUUGUAAUUUUGAAACUACAUAAUUGAUUUGUGAUUAUCAUAUACAUUAGCAACUUUUUAGAUUCUCCGACAAGAUUGUUCUAAUCCAAUAUUUCUUCGUUAAGGUUAAGUAAAAUCGUUGAAUAUGGGUGGGGGGGCCUGAUCAAGGACAUCUUAACAACUAGAAAGGUAAGAGAGUUCAUGGGUUAAAAUCGAUCUGCUUCAUUGCAACCACAUUAAUUUUGGUAGGUGGGUCUAUGAUGCAACCUCCACCCUCUCAAAAUCUGCAUGUCACUGUCUUCUCAAAUGUGACUUAGGGCUCACCCUCUCAUGUCUUGAUAAUUCAUUGUAUGCAAAUGGUUCUAAUGGGGUUGCCACCCCCAUGUCCCAUCACGUGAUUAGAAUUUUCUAUUUAUAAGAAAAAUUGAUCUCAACCAUCCAAUUAUUAAUAGAAAAGACUUAAUAAUGUAUUGCCAAAAAUACAGAUCAUUUGUACCUUCUUGUGGGUGCACCCAUGCCUUUACCUUUAGCAAAAUUAGACUUUCUCUUUUCCUCGAUUGCCUUGUCUGAAUCACAAUUGGGUCAAUUUCAGUGGGACAUGGCAUAAGAUGAUGACCUUUCAAAAUGGGAUGAUUUUCUAAUUAGCAGUUUUCUACUCAAAAUUCAAAAAUACGUUAUAAUUUCAAAUGUUUGUAACUACCUUUUCGCGCCCAUAGGAAAAUUAAUAUAUGGCAGAUUCCAAGGAUAUACACUUUAGCCUUUUAAGUGAUAAAGCUAACCCACUCCUUUAUAACUUUUCUUUUCUUUUUUUUGGGAAGAUUUUCAAACUUAUUUGUCAUUUUCAAUAUGCAAUAAUAGCCCUUGUUAUGUUUCAUGAUUUACCCAAAUGCCCUGUGAGGAUUUUCCCCCCACGAUCCACACAACAUACAAAAGAGUGAGUGGGGUGUUGUCAAUUUUGUAAAUGCACCAACAAUAACUAGACGACCAGAUAGUUUUUGUUUUGUUUUUUCUGUUUUUGUUUUUCUUAUGUUGAGACUAAAAGACUAUAAAGGGCUUUCUACGUAUGUUGUAUUUUCUUAUCAAUCCUUUUUUUAGUUUUUAGACAAUAAUCAAAAUUCCAAAAUUUCUCAUCAUUUUAAGAGUAUAUUUGAAAAUAAUUUUUAAAAACGUUUUCAAUAUUUUUAAUACUUAAAUAAUAAUUUUUUUUAAAUAUUAAAAACAUUUCUUAAAAUCAUUAUCAAACGAACUCUUAACUAUAAAUAAUAUGUAACCUCUAUCAUAUUAUAUAAGAUAGUGAUCUUGUACAUGAAAAGGAAAAUUUAUGUUUUACAUGUGGGGGUGUCGUAUAAAGUGGGUAAAGAUAAUGCUGAGAAUUCAAAGGUGGCGCAAGUUGACUGUAAGAGUGGACUCUUCCGCCACAUAAUAGAGGGUGGGAUGACACAAAUCACGUCAAACGCUGAGUGUUAUUUAUAAGAAAAGGGGCAUUGAGUAAUGGUAAUGGAGUAGGAAAGAAGAAGUGUGGAAAGUCUCAAUUGCAGGCAUGGUGUCUUGUCUCUUCGCUGUCUCCUUUUGAGUGUGGGAGAGUUGAGGAGGAGAGUGACGGCCUUCCUUUAAUUUCCCCAUGCCAACCACAAGGCUACAAUUCUAAGCAAAUAUCUUUCUCUUUUCAUUCUCUAUUAAUUUGUCUUUAUUUUCCAUUUCCACAGCGCUUCCCCUCUGUGUUAAGGGCCCGUUUGCAUGGAUUUUUUUAAAAAUUAGAAGGUUUUUUUUUUUUAGUUUAAUAAAAAUUUUAAUAAUUAUUGGGUGGUUUCGUCAUUUGGCCUAUUCGCAUUUCCAUGGGACUAUGGGAGUUACACAACGUGGAUACGGUCGGUGAGUAAAAUUUAAAACGAUCACGAGGCUGGUUUUUGAAAAUAUAUCAAACUGUGAAGGGUAGUUUUGUAAUUGAGACUGAAAAAUUAAGAAGAAAGUGAGGAACUCGGGACCCGCCGGGGUAUGACCAGGCCAUCUCUCUCUCUCUCUAAAACGCGGAAUUUUCUGACUCGCAUCUCACACGAUUCACUCCACUUUCUUUCAAAACUUUCUCGCUCUUUCUUUCAAAUUUGCUCGGAAAUUUCACUCCAGGAGUUAAAUGGCUGCGACCCUUUGAGGCUUGCGAUGUGAAAAUGGCNNNNNNNNNNNNNNNNNNNNNNNNNNNNNNNNNNNNNNNNNNNNNNNNNNNNNNNNNNNNNNNNNNNNNNNNNNNNNNNNNNNNNNNNNNNNNNNNNNNNAAAAUAGAAGAAAGUGAGACUCGGACCCGCCGGAGUAUGCCAGGCCAUCUCUCUCUCUCUCUAAAACGCGGAAUUUUCUGACUCGCAUCUCACACGAUUCACUCCACUUUCUUUCAAAACUUUCUCGCUCUUUCUUUCAAAUUUGCUCGGAAAUUUCACUCCAGGAGUUAAAUGGCUGCGACCCUUUGAGGCUUGGGAUGUGAAAAUGGCGGCUUCGGGUGGUUACAGAAAUGGAACUCACAAGGGCAAUAUGAAGGUGGAUAGGCUGGUCUCCCUCAGUUCCGCCACCAAGUCUUCCUCUCUCAAGUCCAAGCCUUCCCCAGCGUCGCCCGCUUCUUCUGGGCUCCGCCGCAACAGCACCGGCUCUGUCGGUGGAGCAAAGGACGAUGCUGGAGGUCAGUUCUCUCUAUCUUUUGAAGUGGGUUUGUUGUGGUUGGUAUUGGGUUGUGGGUGUGCAGGAGUGUGAGUUGGUGUUCUAAAUUUGGUUGGAUUGGAACAAAAACGUUAAAUUGGUGCUUGUUAUGUUUGUAAUGGGAAAGCUAUUUUGGGAAACUAGGGGCUAUGUGAAGGAUUUGAUUAGGUGAUGGGCACCUUUAAAAUCAAGUCAUCUGAUAAAUGGCGCAAAAGAAUUCAUAUAGGGAAGCCCAAGUGGACAAGAUCGAUACUUUGUGGAGUGGAGUAGGGAGCAUUUGCUGAAUUGCUAACUCGUGUUUUAUUUAUUUUGUUUGAUGAAAAUUUGUCACCAAGAAUUGGAGGUUACAUAGGAUCAUUUGGGAUUUCUAUUAUAAAGUGAAUUAUUGAUACUUGUGAUAAAACUUAUUUCAAAUGGUAGAAAGAGAGCAAAAAGGUAGACCAUUCUUCACGGUAGGACCUCUCUAUUGUGCAUGCUAUUAGGAAUCGGAAGAAAUUUUCUCAUAAAUAAUGCCAUUCAAUUGGUGUGAUGACUUGUUUCCAUUUUGGUAGUGCAGAAUAACUGAUUCCUUUAUGGAGACUUAGCCUUUCAUGAAAUAAAUUCCAAGUCAUUUUAUGGGUGUGGAUUGUGAUUCAAUAAAAAGAACUUAAUAAAAACGUGAAGAGGUGCAGUAUUCUGGUAAUAACAUUAAGCUCAACAAUGGUGGACUCAUGUAAUAUUGGCAGUAAAAAGUCUGAAGAGCCAUCAUCUAGAAGGUUUUCUUAGUCUGGCAUUAAGACAGUUGUCAUGCAUGAUCAUGAUUCAUGGAUGGUGCUGAAGAAUUAUGUAGGUAGACCCUCUUCCUCACUUUCUUAUUUCGAUAUCCAUUUUGCCAGUACAUGGAGUCGAUUUUAAUAGAUGGAAUAAAUACUUGAAGCAAAAGAGAUCUAUGUUUAUUUCUUAAUAUCUAUUGACCAAUAACCAUCACUGAUGAAAUCUCAUAAACUGGGAAAAAUUGUAAAGAAGCAACAGGAUCAUGAUUCAUAAAUGAUUAACAAGUUUGAUGCCUCUGUCCUUCCAGAACAAGCAUAUGCUUACCAACAAAAGAAGGAAACCUUUAAACCUCCCUUUUUAUUCAUGAGGAGAGCUCUAGCUUAAGCAGAAUGGUUAAUCUUGCCAUACUACUAUGGCUACUCCUACUACUCAUAUUGCUACUGAUUGUAAGUAUUAAUGCUGCUACACCUUAUUCCUAUGGCCUCUGCUACCAUUACUUUAAGAUGUGUUUUUCUGAUGGUAAUGCUUUCCGUGGCAUAAGCAAUGUGUACAUAUCAUUAAGGAUCUUCUCAAAUUUCUAAAAGUAAGCUUUCUAGUGUUCCUCACAUCCAUUGAUGUUGCAUAUAAUGGAUAUGACAAACUCCAAUUUGAUAAUUUAAUGUUCUGGCAAUAUAAUAUUUCCUUUUACUUUAGACACCUAGCCAGUCGAAAGGAUUUUCUACUUGAUCUGGGGAGUAUAACAAUUCCAUAAUUAAUGGGUAUUUCAAAUAUUAUAAAUUGAUCCCCUUGUAGUCCCAGUGUAGUAAGGUUGCACCCCCUUUUUUUUGUUGGGGGCUCUUCAAUCUAAGUUUCUGUUUGCCUAUCAAUAUAACAAAUUGAUCCUUUGAACAAAGAUUUACUGACUAGUAUGGUGCUGCAUGGCCACUUCAAAAUGGAUGAAGUAUUUAUAUUGGAAAUUACAUGACAUGGGCAUGGUAUGUCUCUGUCAUGCCUAUAAUUGGAUACAUACCCAAUAAGCAUGUCUAAUAAUGGAAUAGAGAAAUGUGUUUCUCAUCCCCUAUAUGUUCUUUUUUGAUAGUCUUUUUUAUUCCAUAUAUGUUUUUUUUUAUGAUUAAUCUUUCUUCUUUGUUGCAUGAAUGCUUCAAUAAGAAUGAAGUACCCUUGCUGGAUAUGCGAAGUUACAUUUAAUUUCAGUUCUAGGUUCAGAAAAGAAACAUGGACACAUCAAUGGUUCAGACAUGUCUCCUCCAUCCUCUGAAAUUUCAGGAUUAAACACAUUACGCAUAUGAAUCCCUGUCUGGAGCUGUAAAUUUCUGUUUGUUGGAAGUCAUGUUUUUGUUAAGGAAAGGGAUCAAGCUAGUAUGUAACAAUAAAAAUCACCAAGAAAUUUUUCUAACAUUUUUCUUUUGUUAAAAGGCUUUGAUGGUGUGCUUUCGUAUUUUUAUGCUGUAUUUUUAACUUUUAUGAAUGCUAAAUAUAGUUCCUGGGAGGGUUCGAGUGGCUGUGAGAUUGCGACCGCGGAAUGCAGAGGAGUCGGUGGCUGAUGCUGAUUUUGCUGAUUGUGUAGAAUUGCAGCCAGAGGUGUUCUUGAUGUUAUUUUUCCUGUUAUAGAAUCUAUACAUGCAUACAAUAUCCUUUUAUUUUACUGAUGGUUUCUCUGUCAUUUUCAUUGUUUGUUUGCUCCAUUCAGCUUAAAAGGUUAAAACUUCGAAAGAACAAUUGGGACUCAGACACCUAUGAGUUCGAUGAAGUGCUUACAGAGUUUGCAUCACAAAAACGUGUAUAUGAAGUUGUUGCGAAACCUGUUGUGGAGGUGCAUGGCCGUCAAAGUUGUCAAUUUUAUCAUAAAUACUGUAGUCAUUUGCAUCAGUUCUGUUAUUUUAAGGCAUAGCAGGUGCAUGGAUAGCUGAAUUUUUCGAGUUUAUAAUGUUGGUUUCUUCUAUUUGUGAUCUAUGAUUGUCCUAGAAGCCAUGGCUCUUAGUUUUUUUUAUCAGCCAAACAGAAUGGCAUCAGUCUUGGAAAGAUCAGCUUUGAUAUGGAAUACCAUCUAUAGAAGAAGAAAAAAAUAAAAGACAAAUUUGUUAACUUUCAACUCCCAACAGAAUAACAAAAUAAUGAAUAUCAGACUUAAUAAAAGAAAACUAAAAGAAUUAGCAGAUAGUUAAUAUCAUCUCUUAUGGUUUAGGAUAUUGAUUUUCAAAAAUAAAUCAAAAGUAUUUAUUACAGAAAGAAGAGGCAAAAAAGAGGAGGCCGCAGAGAGGUGCAUGUGUGAGUGUGGAAGGGGGCCUGCUGUCGGUGAGGGGUGAGCAAGGAAUGCUGAAAGAACAAACUCACUGUAUAUCACUGCAUUUCACUUUGCUACACUACCCUAUUCACACCAAAAUUAUGAAAUAGAUUGAUUCUUUGGGAAAAUUAUCAUUAGAAGAUAUUAUUUCAAUUGAUUUUUUUUUCCUUUUUCCUUUUGCUUUUGAUUGACCACUUCUUGCCUCUGUUAUUAAUGUCUUGUAUUGGAUAUUUAUUAUAAUUAUUAUUAUUAUUUUAUGCAUGAAAUCCUUCAUCUGUUUUCACCUUUUGUUCUCUCCCAUGUCCAAGAAAAUUAAAUAUAAAUGUUUAUUUUCCUUUUUAUUUGAGUUGGAUAAUUUUAUUCUAGUGUGAUCUGUUAUUAUUUUUGAUGGAGGCCAUCUAAGUCAUACUUUUGAUGGCAAUUAAACUUCUGAUAGCAGGUUUUCAUAUGUUGUUUGCUUCUACAGAGUGUUUUGGAUGGUUACAAUGGAACAGUCAUGGCAUAUGGACAGACUGGUACUGGGAAAACAUACACACUUGGGCGACUUGGAGAGGAAGAUACUGCUGCGCGUGGAAUAAUGGUGCGUGCAAUGGAGGAUAUUUUAGCAGAAAUUUCUCCAGAGACUGAUUCUGUCUCAGUCUCCUAUUUGCAGGUUGUUAGCCUUAAAAAUGAUAUUAAGUUCAUGCUUAAUUUAUUGUUGCUGUUAUUUGUUUAGUAUAUUGUUGCUAGUUUAUGGAAUUUUCACUUUUCAGUUAAUCCAAUUUCAUUUCAUCUUGUAAGGGAUCUUUGAUAUAUUCUAUAAAGGCGUUUUUCAGAUAUAAUUUGUCUGACGUUCUUGUUCUUUACAAAUAUCUUCAGCUUUAUAUGGAAACCAUUCAGGACCUCCUUGAUCCUACUAAUGACAACAUAUCUAUCAUGGAAGACCCGAAAACUGGAGAUGUUUCACUACCAGGGGCCACCCUAGUAGAAAUCAGGGACCAGCGGAGUUUUGUGGAACUGCUACGGUUAGGGGAAGCUCACCGCUUUGCUGCAAACACAAAAUUGAAUACCGAAUCAUCUCGUAGUCAUGCUAUUUUGAUGGUGAAUAAAUCCUUAUCUGCUGAUGUUCAUGCUUUUCUUUCUUGAGCACUUAUUUGAAUUGGUUGUUUUAUUCUAAUGGAGCAUUGAUAGAUUUCUCUUUUGCUGCAGGUACAUGUUAAGAAAUCUGUAAAGGGAAGGGAUUCAGCUCUUUUAAGUGAAAAUUGUAACAGUUCCCACAUGGUUAAAACUUUUAAGCCACCUGUUGUUCGGAAAGGGAAGUUGGUUGUGGUAGAUCUUGCAGGUUCAGAGCGUAUUGAUAAGUCAGGUGUGUAUGAUAACUUAUGGAUAGGAGAAUUAUUUCUUUUCCCUGAUGACUGAUUGAGCUUUCAUUAAUAUGUAAAAUCAUGUUUAUAUUUUUUGAAUUGAAAGUGAUACCCUCCUGUUUUGGUUGGCUGGUGCCAUCUCAAUCCAUGGCUUGAAAUGUCCUGUUUAAGUUGGAGGAGCAAAAGCUCCAAGUUUGCAGUUUUUUUUAUAGUUAAUUUCAAAAAAAUCACUUCUAGCAAUAAUAGGUUUAGGGCUCAUGAGCCCACUAGCUUAAAUCUUUGGGAAUGAGAGAGUUUGCUCUUUCAAUUGCUAAAUUUUAUUUCUGUUUGCGAAUUGUAUUCAACUGUAACAAUAAUUUUAAAUCAUAUUUCAGCAUGGUCAUACAAAAUUAGCGUCUCUUGUCCAGUAGAAUGUCUGUUGAGGAUGGAAAAGUUGAGUUACUGAGUUCAUUGGUUAUAGCAUAUUGAGGAAGAGAUCUUUGCUUUGGGAUUUUUUUUUUUGUUUUUUGGGCACUUCCAUUUUUGUUCUUUCAAAUAAGCAGAAGAGACAAAUCAAAGUAUGUAAAAUCAGUAAACCCAUUUUUUAAGAAAAACAAAAAUUCUAAAUGUUAUAUUAUUAUAGCUGUUCCAUUUUUAGUACUUUGCUUCUCAAUUACACUUCAAAGUUUGCCAUUUGUUUGUUAUUUGGCAGGAAGUGAGGGACAUACAUUAGAGGAAGCCAAGUCUAUUAAUCUUUCUUUAAGUGCUUUGGGAAAGUGUAUUAAUGCACUGGCAGAGAAUAGUGCACAUGUCCCGGUUCGUGAUUCAAAACUUACAAGAUUGCUUCGAGAUUCAUUUGGAGGUGAGUUGUUCAUGCAUAUGGUAAGCGAUAUUUCUCCUUUUGGUGUGGUCUUCACUCAAUUUUAUCAAACUUUCCUGGACAUGGUUUUCUCAUUUAAACAUAUUUAUUGAUUUGGAUGAAUCUCAGCACUGAAGCUUCCUAAAGCUCAGAUGAGAAAGUCUCGAGUCUUAUACUCUCUUUAGGAAGUGUUUUUAAAAAUAAUUUUUGAAAAUUGUUCUUUGAUAUUUUGCGAAACAAAAGUCUGGUAGGAAAUUUAAAAUAUUCUUAACCUGUUUUCUAUUUUUUAAAAUAUGUUUUAAAAAUACUUUUAUUUCUGGUUUCUCAGAAAAUUGUUUUUUGCUUUCUGAUUGUCAAACAUGUUUCUAUGCUUUUUUGUUUUCAAAAAUAAAAAACUGUUUUUGAAAAUAGUUAUCAAAUAGACCCUUAAGUACUUGAGCCCCGUUGUUAUAUGUAUCCAAAUGCAAUAAUUGGCUGGAUAAUAGAGGACUGGUGCAAAAAUGUUAGUGGCUAUGGAGAGAUGUUGGCAAUCCCAAGGGACCCCUUCCUCCUACUCACUAUUUAUUUAUUUUUUUUCUGAAAUUUCUUCAAUUAAAUAUAUAAUUUGCAGUUGAACCCCUUUAAAGUAAUGAUUUUACUCAUCCAAUCAUAUAAUAUUCAAAUGAGUUUUAUGAGUACGAUAAUAUCUUCAAAUUACCCCAAAGAACAACUCUAAUUUGCAAGUCAGCCCUUAAAAUGAUUCAAAUCUUGUUUUAUGCCAUCCCUACCAAAUGAUAUAGUGCCUUCAGGAAAAAUUUGUAUCUUGAUCAGUAUUAAGGACAAUACUUUCUUCCUUAGCCUUUUACUCUAAAAUGGUAUUCUCCUUUUGAAGAUCCUUCACUCUGAUGACUAUUUGCAUCUGCUAAAAAAAUGGAUAGCUGUUUUAAAGAAGAGGAAGAGGAAAAUAUGGAGACAAAAAUGGGAUUGACUGCAGAAUUUUUUUACAUCUACCAUAGGAAAAGAGAAAUUAUCCAGGAACCAUUUUUAGCACAUAAAAGACUUAAAAAUGAUGGAAUUAUCCCUGUCAAUAAUGGCUCCCAUUUAAAAGGGAUUAUUUGGUGAUUUAGGCAAUUGGAGUAUAUUCCUUUUGAAGUAGAGUUUUUCAAAGCAGUUGGAGAAAUUUAAAAUGGCUGGUCUCAACUUGCCUGUUCAUGCUGAUAUCCUACAUAUUGAAUCUACUGGAAAGUGCCUGGGUCUUGAACCACUGAAAAUCUUGCCAAAGUUCUAACAAUUAUUUUUAAGGGGGCAUGUUCUAUUUCCUAGCAAGCAGACAGAAAGGUUCUGUCAUAGAUUUUCAAUGCUAUUUCAGAAUUCUUUCUGUUUGGUAGCAGUCAGUUCAUCCUUGGCUGUAUCGUCUAUUUUACAUAGAUGUGCUGAUUUAUCCUUGUGUUUAUUUUGACGCAGCAUUUAAAAUAUUUUAACCUUUACAUUAUUCCAGGCACUGCAAGGACUUCAUUGGUUGUCACUAUUGGUCCAUCCCCACGUCAUCGUGGAGAGACAUCAAGCACCAUCAUGUUUGGACAAAGGGUAGGUUCCAAACUUAUAGCCUAAUUUUUUUCCUUUUAGAGUUAUCUAUAGUUGCAAUCCUUGUCAUGUAUUCAAUUUUAUUGCUUUUUUUAUUAAUACCGUUGUUGCAACCCAAUAAUAUCUUUGUGUUUUGACACGGAUGAAAAUAUCAGUUUUUACAAAUAUAUCGACAAUUAUAUUUUACGGAUAUAUCGGUGCAAGAAAAUUGAUCAAAACUAAUAGAAACAUUAAGAAAAAACUCCAAAAAAAUGAUAGAAGAAGCAAUAACACACUUUAUUUAUAUGUGACAUAGUUUGUGAUAUUCAAUGCACUAAUAAAGAAUAUAAAUUUUCUAAGCAUACAUCCAAUAUUGAUUUGUAUUAAGUAUUUAAUUUCAUUAGAUGUAUGUCAAUAAUUUAUAUAUAUUACAUUAUCAUAUUUCCAUUUAACACCAAAAUGAAGAUUGAUGUGAUUUUGUGGCACUAUGGAGAAUCUCAUCUUAGUGGAAAUAAUAUUAGAUAUAAUUUGCAAUAUUCAACACUAAUAUGUAAAAUUUGAAAAUAUAUUUAAUAUUAUAUUUAUUAUGUGAUACAUAGAUAAUUUUUUUUGAUAAGUAUUUUUCAGUUUAAAAAUAUUUAUAAUUUUAUUUAUAUAUUUUUAUAAUUUAUUUUGUAUUUAACUCAUUAUUUUUGCAUUUUCAUUAAUAAAUUAAAUAGAAUUUGAAAAUAAGAUAAAUUAAUAUUAAUUAAUUUAUUAAAAUUUUAUUUUAAUAUUUUAUUUCUUAUGAAUUCAUAUAGAAUUUAGAAAAAAAAUAUUAUAUAUUAAAUAUAGGAUAUAGGUUGUUACAAAGAUGGAUUGUCCAGUUGGUUAGCUGCAACCUCUUCCACAUAUUAUACCCAGGUUUAAGGCCUAGCUUGCAAUUUACUUUUUCCCAAAAUAACAAAUAUGAUAAUAAUAAUAAUAAAAAAAAAACACCUGGCUUGCUUUUACCACAUCACAGAGCCCCUUUGGCCCAUUCAAUUUUUCAAUUGAAAUCAAAGGAAAAGAAAACUUGGCAUGCAUUGACCACGCCCCUUGCCCCUUUGACUGCUUAAAAAAUCGGGAAAAAUUCUGAUAAAUCGGGAAAAUCCCUAUAAAUUGGGAAAAAUCAAGAAAAUUUCCUGAUAAAUUCCGAAAUUUCCAUCAGUGGAAAUAUCUCCUGCAUGUUUCAUGUUGGGCUCUGUCGACACUGAUAUAUCCUCGAAAUAUCGCCAAUUUUUUGGUGAUAUUUCCAUUCUUGGUUUGACAUUCCUGUUGUAUACUUGAAAUUUUAAUUUCUAAUGAUGCAAUGUAGUGGAUAUUUUUUCUGUGGGGAGUUUGCUCAUGCAUGAAAUUAAUAUUUUUUGCUAAUACUUUUUCCUCUAGGCUAUGAAGGUGGAGAAUAUGUUGAAAAUAAAGGAAGAGUUUGAUUAUAAAAGUUUGUCUAGAAGGCUUGAGAUUCAAUUAGACAAACUCAUUGUGGAACAUGAAAGGCAGCAAAAAGCAUUUGAAGAUGAGAUUGAAAGGAUAACUGUAGAAACACAAAAUCAUAUAUCUGAAACUGAAAGAAACUAUGCUGAUGCGUUGGAGGUAAGUGCAUACAUAUAAAAGUUUCAUUUUUUUUUUUUUUUGUUUUGAUAUGAACAUCAGCAUUGUUUUAAGCUCACACACAAGUAUGCAUAUAUUUAUGCUUCACAUAUAUAUGUAAUAGUUAUCUUUACUUGUGAAUGAGCAGGCUCAUAGGCUAAUAGCUAAUGAUACAAAUAUUUGAUUUUGUUAUCAAGUAGCUGCUGAAUUGGACACAAGCUGCUUUGUUUGUUGAACCUGUACUAUUUGUUUAAUUAUUAAGCUAAAUGCUGUAGCUCUAAGGGUUGUCAUGGAUGUUUCAUGAUUACUUGUCGAGAAACUGUUUAUGAUAAAAAUACGUACAAUAACUUCUCCUAGUUCUUAUAUUUAUUUUAGAAAUCCUCAGUCUAUGGUGGUUAGUUUUCCAUUCUUGCAUGUUUAAUUGUAUGAAUGUUGUUUGGCCUUCACACGAAUGUAGCUUUUGUGGGAAUGUACAUAAUUUAUUUCAAUAUUUGUUUUUUGCUUUUAUUCUUAUUAUUAGAAGUUGGAAUUUUUUUAUAAUUGAGAGAUAGGUCUUGGCCUAGUGGUUUUAUCAACCGUAGAACUUCAAUUUAGCAAUUCAUAUUGAUCAUGCUUGAUUUAGUGCCAUUUGUUAGUUUUAGGUGCUAACUUAAUGCUUCUUAAAAUUAUCUUGUUCCUUUUCAGAAAGAAAGAUUGAAAUAUCAGGAAGACUACAUGCAAUCAAUAAAGAAGCUUGAGGAGCAAUGGGUGAUGAAUCAGCGGAAGCAUGGCAGUGAAAGAACCACAUUUGGGCUCAAAGAUGAUAACUUUGAUAAGACACUUAAUGGAGUGGUAAUCAUAUUUUGGAAUUAUAUAUCUUGUCAAAGAGUAUGGUUUGUAAUGGACAAACCAUGGCAUUCUCUACUCUCUCUCUCUCUCUCUUUCUCUUUGUGUUACCGGAUUUGCUAGUUUCUACUUGCAUUGGUUGUGAACCAUUUUUCGGGUUGGUGGUUGGAUGUGAAAUGCAGCAUAAAAACCUAGCUUGAAGGAUAAUCCCUCUACAUUGUGAUUUGCUUGUGGAAGAAAAGUAGAAUAUUUAAAAAUUUCCAAGAAAUAAAGUAGUGAUUGAAAACAAUAUGAAUCUUAAAAUGAAUUAAGAUAGUUCCCUUUUCCCUAAAGGUAUUAUCUUGUUAAAAAGUGAAUUCUAGGGGAUUAGUGAUUAGUGUAUGUAUAACAAAAUUCAAUGUCUUUCUCGAUAAUGAAAUUCAUAGCAAAAACAAUGUUUAGUGAAGAUAGAAAUAUAUUUUUGUUUAUUAGAUUACCUAUUAAAAACUAGAUUAACCAUUUGAUAUUGUUUGAUCCAAUGGUAGUGUUAAUGGUGACAAUGAUGAUGGAAAUGGCAUUGGUGAGGGUAAUGGUGGUGGUGGUAGUGGUGUAGGUGAUGAUAGUAAAGGUGGUUAUGACAAUGCUAGUGGUGACCAUGAUGGUUAUGGGAGAUUGGUAUUGGCGGUGUCUUGCUUAUGUGAGUGACAAAGAGGUAGUGUGGUAUUGCUUGUGUCUUUUUGGUUAUGGUGGCAAUGAUGAUGGUAGCCAUCGGGUAGUUAUCUAAUGUCUUCAUCAAAUAGAAAAAACAGGGUCAAAGAAAUUUUAUAUUUCAUUCUCAGAACUUGGAAAAGUAUCAAAUUCUUAAAUUCUUAUGGAAAGUUUGGAGUUCAUUACGAAUAUAAGAGAGUUCCUUUUCUGAGAGUGCAUUCUUGAAUCAAUAACCUCACGCAAAUUUCUAGAAUGCAUCUUAUAUAUUUUGGAAGGAUUUCUCAUCUUUUAUUAUAAUUAUUAAUUCAUAUCUAUGAAUUUGUUGUUUACGUUAAAAAAUGGAAAAAAAAAGAACAAAGAAAUAGGCUCUAAGUUGGAAAAUUUUGUAAGAUCUGUUACGUUUAGGCUUCUUGUUUAGAGAAAUUUUUAAGGGUAUUCUUUUAUAGUUUUCAGAACUUGUUGGUAAGUGAUCCUAUAUUGUUUUAUAUACCUUGCCAUUAGACAUCAUUUUGUUGGCUUCUAGAGAUAUUUACCAUUUUGUUUUAAGAGGGGAUUCAAAGGGCACCAUUAGGUGAGUUAGGCUUCAUUCUCAUGCUGCAUAGAGGUUACUUUGCCUCUUUGGGGAGAUUAUUAACCUUACUAGUGAUUUAUGGCAACCUUGGGAUGAUUAUCUACAAGGUCGGUUAGGGUUUCAAUCUUUUAGGAUUUAAGGAAUAGAGAACAAGAAUAAAAUUAUAACAUCAGGAAAAAGAAUAAAAUAAAGAAUAGGAAAAGAAAAGAUAAAGAAGAAGGAUAAGAAACAUUGGAGUCCUAGUAAAGCCUUCUAGGAGUUUGAUGUGUAGAAGAAAAGUAAUAGAUUCCCACCAUUAAAAUUGCAAGGUAUGCAAAAAAAAUUAAUAUUAUUUAUCAUCAAUCAUUCAUCCUAUUUUACAUCAAUUAACCUUCUAGGAGUUCUAGGUUUUGAGACAAGGUGUUGUCUCCUUAUCUAUUUGUGUUGGGAUGGAUACCCUAGGUAUUCAAAUCUUUUGAGAAAGGUCAGGGAGGGUUACUUCAUUUCAAGCUUCAAGGUGGGAGGUAGAAGCAAAAAGGGAGUAGAGAUUUUUCACCUCUUAUUCAUUGAUGAUAUACUUCUCUUUUGUAAGCAUUUCUCAGACUAGGUCAUUUAAAUGAGUUAGGUUUUGUAUUGGUUUGAAGCUUCUUCAGGGUUGAGAAUUAGUCUAGACAAAAGUGAAUUAAUUCUAGUGGGGGAUGUCCCUAAUGUUGAGGAGCUUUCCUUUUUGUUGGUUAUUGGGAGGGAAAGUUUCAACUACUUACUUAGGCUUACCCUUGGCAUCUACUUUCAAGUCUCCAACUGUGUGGGAUGUGGUUGAGGAGAGGUUUAAUAGAAGGUUAGUUCUUUGGAAAAGACAAUACCUGGCAAGAGGUGGUAGACUCACUUUACUUGAAAAUACUUUGUGUAGCUUACCUAUUUAUUUAUUUUGUGUCUCUUUUUGUCAUUCCUAAGGCAAUGGCUUUAAGAUUGGAAAACUUAUUAGGAUUUCUAGUGAGGUGCGGGGGGGAGAGCUCUUCAAGAAAAAUCCUACCUGGUCAAUUGGUCAUCCAUUUGCAAAGAUAAAAAGGGGUGGGGUAAACUCGUAAAUUUUCUAAAUAAUGAAAUAAAAGAAAAUAGAAAUUUUCAUUUAAGAAUUAGAGACUUGCUUUGUAGAGAAACUUUUGUAACAAGAAUUUAUAGUAAAGAAAACUUCUUGAUUCUAAUGACUCAAAAUUGAAACUUUUGCCAUUUCGUUUAAGGAGGAUUCUAAAACUUCCUAAAUUCUGAAUAGAACUCAAAUACUAACUACUAACAAAUUAUGAUCUUAAAGAACCUAAAAAAAUGCAAAAUUAUUUAAACAUUGUUGAUAAAGUAGCUUGAGACUUAUUUAUUUUCUUUCUUUCAUUUCUUGAGUAGAUCUUGGAUAUUCAGCCCCAUCAACUAGGCAUGUCAGUUUGCUUUCAUAGAAUUUUGUUGCCAAUGGUCUUUGCCCAGACUACCUUGUAGGCAUUGUCUCCCUCUGGAGAGUGGUGCCUUUGAUGGUCUAUUGUAUGUUUUUCUUCCUCUUUUUUUGUUUCCUUGGAGAAUAUCUUUUUCAUUCUUUUAUUCCAUUCCCUUAUCUAAAAAUAUGUUUCUUGCCAAAAAGAGAAAAAAAAAAUGCUCUGACUGCUACUUGUUGACCUAUCGCCUGAGUAACAUCCCCAAUCAAUUUCUUUGUGGUGUGUAGGUUCCUGUGGCAUCUGCUGCUGAAGAAAUAGCAGAGCUCAAAAAAUUGCUUCAGAAUGAGGCUUCUUUAAGAACAGCUACUGAAGAGGAAGUCAAUAACCUUAAGAGCCAAGUAGUUCAGUGGAAAAGGAUUGAGGUGGUCAUGCACUAUUUCUUCUUUUGGAGUCAUCUAGUUUCCUGUUUUACAAUUUUGGUGACUAGGUUGGUGAUACAUGAUUCUGCAUUUGGUAUAAUAGGCAGCAGGAAAUUCUGAGAUAUUAAAACUUCGCAAGAUGCUGGAAGAUGAGGCACACCAAAAAGAGAAACUUGAAGAAGAAAUUGCAAUACUGCAAAGUCAGUUGUUUCAAUUAAGUUUUGAAGCUGAUGAGGUAUGCAGGUUGUGGAUUAUAAGUAUGUUUGUUAUGGUGUCAACUUGUAUUUCUGAUUGCUGCUGAUGCAAUAUAUAGGCUAAGUUGUGUUAUAGUUUGAUUCAUACUUCUGGGUGUUUCUCAAGGGAAUGAUUUGCUAGUGGUAUCUUCUUGUUUGGGGAAAUAGUUGAGCUUUUAAAAAUUCAUGCAACAAAGGGGAAAAAAAAUUCUGAAUGCAAGAUUAGGUUAGACUGAUACUUAUUUACUCAUAAGAUAAAAUUAUGAAAACAAACAGUAGGUUAACAAGUUCAUGUUGUGUUGAAACACAAAGGAAAUGUUGUGUCAAGAAAAUGCUUCACUCUCUAGUGAUAAGCCCUUUAGAACAUACCUUAAAUGGUCCAAGGUCUCUAAUUUCUGUAAGGUCAUAUUCGUUAAUCUAGAAUAUGGAUCAUGAAAUUUAGUUUCUUGGAAUUUAUCAAAGUUAGUUCUUUGGUUGACUAAAUUUCUAGAAACAUGACUCAUGAAGAUACUGUUGAAAAUUUCUUAAAUUCCUAUUGUCAUAUAUUCCUUUUGAUAAAGAAUAUUAUAUAAAUACUUUAUAUAUUGGUAUUUCCUGGUAAAAAUAGGUUUCUUUGUAGAAUAAGGAAAGGUGUUACAAACAUCUAGGUCAUGAAGGAAAACUAAAAAGUAGAGAUGUGAGAAAAGUGGGAGACACUCGUUGGAGCACUACUCAUGGUUUAGGGUGUAGAUACUAGGAGCUAAGAACAUGAGAUCGUUUCAAGACAUGAGAGUUAUAUCUAUUUUCUCUUUCUUUUGCAAUUUCUCUAUUGUAAAGUGAAAUAUUUUCAUCAUCUAUGGAUGUAAGCAUACCACGUUAAAACCUUGCGUACCUUUAUGUGUAUGUUUAUUUAUUUAUUUUAUGUUAUUCUACUAACACAUAUCAAUGAAGCUUCUGCUAACACAAUAUAUACCUUGCAUCCACCCCUUAAACUGUGGGAAAUUUGUAGUGAUAAAAAAAAACAAUUUAUUUUAGUAACUACACUUUAGUUUGGCUAGAAUGUGGGUGAUCAAACCGAUGUAUUUUGAUCAUUUGAAUAAAACUUGGAACAGUUAUAUCAACAAGAGUUGGUGGGCUGGUAUGAUGACAUAAUGAAGAGGUCUAGAAUGGAAUUUUGGAGUGAAUGCAAGCCUCUAUAAGUUUCUGUUUCCCAACUAUUAGUCCUUUCGAAGUGGAAUAUUACUCGAAGGAUACUUGUAGACUCAAGCCAAUUCAUGUUUGAACAAAUUGAGAUAUUGAAAUACUCCUAUUUCUCAUCCAAAAUAUAUAUGUUGAUCUACUUGGCACUUACAAUUGAAAUUCCUUCUGCAUCUGGAUGGCAUGAAACUUAUUUCUUGGGAAUUAUAAGAUGGAAUUCUUGAUUUGUUUGGAGUUGCUAUCCUUGGAAAUUGAAAUUCUCAGUAGCAAACUGCCCCAGAGACUGUUACUUCUGACAUUCUCCAGAACGCAUUAUAAAUUUGAACUAACACAUAUCUAUCUUUAUAGACAAGCAGACAACUUGACAGAGGUGGAUCUGGGAAAGUUCUUGGAAAUCUGGAUUCUUUCAUGUCACAAAUUAGGCAUUCACAGCUUAGUGAUUCAGGAAAUGGGGAUAAGGCCUCGAUAGCCAAACUCUUCGAACAAGGUACCAUAAAAUGCCUGGUCGGAUUUUUACAGUUAAUGGCUGCAUAUACUUAAUAGUAUAGCUACCUAUUUUCCUUUGUUUCUUCCUAACAAGAUCCAGUGUCCUGACAGUGGGAUUGCAAAAGAUCUUGUCAUUGCUUGAAGCUGAAGAUGCUGAUGUGCGAAUUCAUGCUGUAAAAGUGGUAGCAAAUCUUGCCGCCGAAGGUGCCUUCUGACUUUUCAUAGCCUUCUGUUUCCAUUAACAUGUUUUAUUCUUUAAAAUAUUCUUUUAUCUUUUGUGAGAUAAGCAUAUUUCGGACUGCCUUCACAUACUUCCUAUGCUUCCUAUUUGAAGGUUGCUUCUUUUGUUUCCCCUUUUCCAUUUGACGUGGGGAGAUGGAGAUCUGUUGAUUGAAAAAGUUGCUUACUUGUCAACAUUAUUUAUAAAAUGGAUAUCUGGAUGGCCUUUUGUAUCAUCCAAAUGAAAGGUGUAAUGUUUAUUUCUAUAUCAUUCUUGAUGUCACAUAUCAUCAUCAUUAUUGAAAAUAAUGAUUAUCAAUGAUAUUUAGUGUUAAAAAGGCUGGUCAAUACUUAUCCAAAAAGUAACAAGGAACUGGACAACAUCUUGUUAGUUUAACCAGUAUGGGUGAUUAUUAUUAUGAUCAGUACUUAUGGUCCCAAAACUCCUAGGUAGCGAUAAGAAGCAGCUUUUGGGGAGGAUGGACAAAUUGAUUUAAAAAAUCCCUACUGGAAGGGAAGUUUUACAGGGGGUAAGCUAAAUGAUAAUAUAUGAGGACAACACAGAGAGAAUUUUUCCUUCUACAUGGUCAACAUUGAGUUGUAUCUUCUUUCAUUGUUUGUGAUGGAAUCGACUCUUCAUAAUUAAAGAUGNNNNNNNNNNNNNNNNNNNNNNNNNNNNNNNNNNNNNNNNNNNNNNNNNNNNNNNNNNNNNNNNNNNNNNNNNNNNNNNNNNNNNNNNNNNNNNNNNNNNNNNNNNNNNNNNNNNNNNNNNNNNNNNNNNNNNNNNNNNNNNNNNNNNNNNNNNNNNNNNNNNNNNNNNNNNNNNNNNNNNNNNNNNNNNNNNNNNNNNNNNNNNNNNNNNNNNNNNNNNNNNNNNNNNNNNNNNNNNNNNNNNNNNNNNNNNNNNNNNNNNNNNNNNNNNNNNNNNNNNNNNNNNNNNNNNNNNNNNNNNNNNNNNNNNNNNNNNNNNNNNNNNNNNNNNNNNNNNNNNNNNNNNNNNNNNNNNNNNNNNNNNNNNNNNNNNNNNNNNNNNNNNNNNNNNNNNNNNNNNNNNNNNNNNNNNNNNNNNNNNNNNNNNNNNNNNNNNNNNNNNNNNNNNNNNNNNNNNNNNNNNNNNNNNNNNNNNNNNNNNNNNNNNNNNNNNNNNNNNNNNNNNNNNNNNNNNNNNNNNNNNNNNNNNNNNNNNNNNNNNNNNNNNNNNNNNNNNNNNNNNNNNNNNNNNNNNNNNNNNNNNNNNNNNNNNNNNNNNNNNNNNNNNNNNNNNNNNNNNNNNNNNNNNNNNNNNNNNNNNNNNNNNNNNNNNNNNNNNNNNNNNNNNNNNNNNNNNNNNNNNNNNNNNNNNNNNNNNNNNNNNNNNNNNNNNNNNNNNNNNNNNNNNNNNNNNNNNNNNNNNNNNNNNNNNNNNNNNGAUCGCUACUUAUUGAAGAUGGUGCACUUCCAUGGAUUGUACAAAAUGCUAACAAUGAGGCCUCACCAAUCAGGCGCCAUAUUGAGCUUGCACUCUGCCAUUUAGCACAACAUGGUAAGUUAACCUUUCUUUGGAAACCUGCGAAUCUCUUCAUGCAUCCCCCCUGAGAAGGCUUGAAUUUCCACAUUUCAGAAGUGAAUGCAAAGGACAUGAUUAGUGGAGGUGCCCUCUGGGAGUUGGUCCGAAUCUCACGAGACUGUUCACGCGAGGACAUAAGGACUCUUGCGCAUAGGACACUAAAUUCUAGCCCCACCUUCCAAACUGAAUUGAGGCGACUCCGUAUAGAGUGUUGAUGGAUAUUUGUGGAAUAUUUGAGGUUGGAAUGCAAGUGUGGAAGAUUGGAGAAGGAGCUUUUAAACUCAAGUUAGUGUGGGACAAACAAACAGGAAUGCUGUCAUCAGUGCCCCUGUUCAAGUUUUGUUAAGAGUGGGUGGGUAGGUUGGUGUUUGUAGCCUUUAUUUUUAGUUGAUUACAAAUGGACCCUUAUCUGUUAGUCAAUUUAUUACCAUGUAAUUUCAUUUCUUGUAUGGAUAGGUUCGCCUUAGUGAGACCACUCCAAACUAAGCUUCUAACUAUUGUAUAAAUUAGUUUGUAUAUGAAAUGAAAAGAAGAGAAAAAAAGAAAAAAAAUAAAAUAGAUAUGUAAUGUUGUGGUAUAUAGAACACUCAUGUUACAGAGUAGUUUGUUAAAAUCUUUUACUUUCCAUCAUAUUUCCAAAAUUCAAUGUGAAUCUCCUCAUCUAUAUUGCAUGGUGAGAUUGUGAUGUAAUUGAUAAUAAUUUCUUUGGAUGCAGAGUGGUAUGAACCACCCAGAAAGCAAGAUCAAUGAUACCAAUGGCUCAGAAAUCACAGAAAUGGAUAUGGAUCCCUUGCUUGGGCAAUUUUUUCUGUGUUUUAUGGGCGGAACUGCUUAAAUGUCAUAGUUUUUCACGUGCAGGAAAGUGCUAUGCUGCUGUCCCCUUUUCAUUACUGGGAUGCCACUUUUCCAGCCCCACAUUCUCUGCAUGGCUCCUCAAUAUCAGAGACAUAAUGAUAGACCCACCCAUCCAAUUAUUUUCGAUUUUCAUUGAAGUUGUUUACUUCUUUCCUUUUUGCGUAACAGAAUUCCAAUGAUGUCUAUGGACAUCUAAUGAUGCAUCACUUGUUAUGCAAUCUCCAUGGCCAUGAAAUUCAACUUUCUCUGGAAACUAAGAGCGCAUUUUGUGGACUUUCUUGGAGCUGUCAUAGCCCCAAAGCUAGCCCACUGGUCAAAUCUUCACUCUGAAAUUACAAAUACCUGACAUUGAUAUUUCCUGGCAGCUCCACAACAAACCCAAUUCCUUCCAUUCCUUUCUGUUCCCUUCUUUUUUAAGGCAGUGACAGUUGUUCCCAUAAGCCUAAUUGGGCAAAAAGAAAACCCAGAAAUAAAAUUUUUAUCACUACACAGGAGUUUGUUUUGCAAACAUGACUAAUAAAUUUGACUCAAAACAGUAUACGAUUCUUCACAUUUUUCCCAAGUCUUCACAUUUGAUAUUCCAAAGAAAAGAAUGUCCCUAUCAUAAGCCCAAAAAGCAAAAGAACAAACUCCAUGGACUCCCCACAUGCACCCAAUCUACAUUCAUAUUACAAAUAGUAAUAAUAAUAAUAUUUCAUCCCAAAUUCAUCUGGAUCCCUAACGAACAUUACCUAGUUAUGUCAUUGAGUACUUCUUCAAAAGUAAAACUCCUAUAUAAACAAAUUUGGCACCUAAGAUGUACAUCUUAGAGGAUUUUUAAGAAGCAAUAUCAUAACAGGCAUCAUUCAGCAAGACAAUUACCGGCAUCAUAUGAUAAGAUGAGCACAUAAGAUAUACAGUCAUAUGAAGCGAGAGAGAUGAUCGAUAAAGGCUUCGCAAGGGAGGGUUAAACAGGUGAAUGAAAGAGGAAGAAGCAAGAGUACUGCUGCCUACCUCCAUCAACUGGGGCACAACAAAACUUCAGUGUGUAGAACCAAAUGCCACUAUCCACAACCAAAUUAUGAUUAUCUCGAAAGUGGAGAGCCCCAUUCUAUCUGUCUAUAUAUAUAUAUAUAUUUACAGGCCUUAUAUAUGGGCACGAAGUUUGCACCAUGAAAGCUAGUCUACAUACUUUUGAGACUGACUAAAAACCAAUCAUUAGGGGGGAAUUAGUGGGUGCCAAAGCUAGCUUGGAGCUGAUAUUUUAUUUUCUUGAUGGGCCAGGAAAAGGAAACUAAGAGAAAUGAUGAUAUUGGAGAUUCCUAAGUGAAACACUAAUUUAAAUAAAUAAAUAAGAGAAAAAACUAGGAAACUGUUGAUGCAUUAAGUGAAGAAGAAGAGGAAGAUGUAUCUCGACAAGAACAGCAAUGUUGAGGUGGAUGGUAAACCUACCAAACAAAAGAAAAUCCCAGCUUAUCAUUAGUAGAAUAAGACAGUUGGCUUCAAGAAUCCUAUCCCAUAGAAUGAAUUGAUCAACAAAGAAGAGAAAUGAUGGUGCAAAAGAAAAGCAAAAAAUAAAAAUAAAAAAAAUUGAAAAAAGUUGACUAUAUAUGAAGUUUUCCCCAUAGAAGAAUGGAUAGGAUACAGCUUUACUAAGAGUGGAGAAGUAGUAAUAGCUGUAAUGGAGAAAAGCAAACGAUAUUUCCUGAACUUUGAACAGUUGACCAAUCCCCUAUUUCCUGAAUCCCGACUUCUGAGAGAGGGAGAGAGAGAGAGAGAGAGAGAGAGAGAGAGAGAGAGAGAGAGAGAGAGAAUAUAAAGCUCAUCCCACUUUGUCCUGGCUGUUGCCUUUUUAUGGAAGUGUUGUUUGCCUCGAAAAGGAACUUGUUCAGAGCAGUGCACGUGUAAACCAGAAGGCACAUAUUAUUCAUGUCUCCAGGAAAAGACUCUUAAACUCACUAAAGAAAGCCAAAAAAAUGUGCAACUCUAAGCCCAUACCCCUUUUUCUUCUCGUAAAUAGUUUGCCACCUCCUUGCCUCCCAUCGAAACCGUCGCUGCCUUUAGUGAACCCUCNNNNNNNNNNNNNNNNNNNNNNNNNNNNNNNNNNNNNNNNNNNNNNNNNNNNNNNNNNNNNNNNNNNNNNNNNNNNNNNNNNNNNNNNNNNNNNNNNNNNCUCAGCUUAUCAACUGAUGAACUACAACACCAACAACACUGCUGCUCAUAUAUGAUCACAAUGUCUUUCUUGAGAUUUCUGUGAUGCUGAGGAUAUAUCAACAUAUAGAGAGGAAUUUCACAGAAAGAGAUGAAUGUGGGUUAUAGAUAUACACACACACACGGGAAUGUAAAGAAACAAUGGAGUACAAAUCAAGUUUUGUUUGAUAUAUAUGUGCGGGUAUGUGGGCGUGUGAGAGGGAGACUAUGAAUUGGUGAGGUGGGGGACUUUCAUAACCCAAUGUGGAUUCAACUGAUUAGAGCACACAACAGAAGACUAAUAUAUGGUUGCGUUUCUCCAAUUGGAGAGAUAUCACAUGAGAAAAUUCUUAGAGCUGAAAGAUCAAACAUGGAUGAGAAAGACAGUCAUUCUUAUUCUAGUGCUUCUAUGUUGUUUUUCCUUUUGUUGGAGUCUUUAUUGUCCCUUCUCCUACCUUCUUUCUUCUGCCCUUAAUCAACGGAACAAAUUGUGGUAGCAGUUAUUCCCAUAAAAUCAAACUCACGAACAAUCCAUGAAUUUACACAGUUUUUCCAUCAACAUGCAGGCAUAUAAUCUUAUCAUAAAAUGCAAAACAAGAAGUAGCUAGCUAAAAAGAAAGGGAAAAAAAAUGGAAAAGAAAAAACCUGAAAUGCUCAACAACCCAAAUUCUUGUACCUACAAAUAUUGCUAGGACAUCCUGGUAAGUCAAAAGUAGAGGCGGGGAAGUAAAUUAAGAGGUGUGGCCUUGAAUUGAGUUGUGUUAGUAUGGAGGGCGGCCUGUAGCCCAGUAGGCCUCCGCUGGUAAUUGGAUGGAGUUGAGAAGGUUGGGUGGUAACCCAUGAAAAAGAGGUGCGUUUGGAUCUGCUAAAAGUUGCUGUGGCUGCUGCGGUUGCUGCUGUGGUGGCUGAUGCUGACCAACCCCUCCGGGAGAGCCUAGGGAACCUCCUGGCAUUGGUAGAGCAGGGUCUUCCUCUUCAAGGGGAAGCCGCUCAUAGGCGGCGUUGCUGAAUGACGCUGCCAUAAUCACAACUGGACCCGAAGCCAGUAGUUGCCCCACAACGCUUCCACCCACCACCUGCCCUUGGCCGCCAGCUAAGUAAAUGGUCAACCCCGUGGCAGCAGGCGGAGCUGGAGGAGGUAAAAAGGAUCCGGAUAAGGAUAAGAUCUCGAAACGGCCGUGUAGGGUGACAAUUGCACCAGGUGAGGCCGGUUGCCGAAGAGUAACGUUCGUUACAGUGCCAGUUCCACUCAUAAUGCAAACCCCUCUCUGACGACGUCGGGCAAAGGUGGCGACGCUCUCCACGAUGUCGCACCCGUCAGCAAUCUCCAUCACAUGGGUGCGCAAAGCAUUGGCGCUAUCGCGAGUAAUGAUGAUCGGAGGCUUGGGCUUGUUCUUGGAUCCAGCGGGUCUUCCCCGGGGUCUUCUACUGAUCUCUCCAUCCCCAGAGAGUCCUACCAUUUCAUUCCCCUCGCUGCCUCCGUUUGUAUUCUCAUUGUUGUCGUCUCGAUCUCGCUUCUGCCCUCGGUUGAGGCCGCUGCUGCCGCUUUGUUCAUCUUCUGAAUUCUGCUGUUGAGGGUGAAAUUGAUGCUGCUGCUGGUGAUGAAGAUGGAGAUCUCUAGUAUGGAAAGGAGGUGGGAGAGAAUGGCCAUGUGCUGUUACUGGAUCCAUUUUUCUCUUGUCUUCUCAAUCUUGUUCUCUUUUUAUCUAUCAAAAUUAACCCUCUCACCUCUUCACAUACACAGAAGCUGAACAGUGAGAGAGACCAAGGAAUGAAAUAGAAAGGAGUAAAGGUCGUAUUGGUUCAAAAAGAAAAGGAAGAUAGUGGAAGAAAAAAAGAGAAAAACAGUAGGAUUUGAAGGUCUUGCUUUGCUGCUUUCCUAGUUUAAUGAAAUCAAAGUACUGUAAGCAUAGGGGUUCAAAAGAGAGAGGAGAAAAGGAGUGGGUUUUUGGUGUCACCCACCAAACUCUGAGCUGAAUUAAACAUGCUAAAUUGUGGGAUAUAAGGUGAUAGUGGAGGGUUUUAGUUAGUAAUCGAUGGUAUUGUGGUUGAGGAUUUGGGAGGGAAGAGAGAAGGGAGAAUAGGUUCUUCUGAGCUGCGGAGAGGAGGGUUAGAGAGUUGGGUUAGGGUUAGAUGGAGGAAAAUAGAUCGGUGAUGGGUUUGGUUUCGGUAAGACUGCGUGCGUAUGGGCGGUGGAUGGGUCCCCACCUUUCUCUCUCCAUCUCUCUCUUUUGUCUCCUCCAGCACUCCAUGUUCUCUCUCUCUCUCUCUCUCAAAUAAACCUGAGAAACUAUUAUUAAAUAUUAGUUUUACAUAGUCCCCAAGUCCUUUUCUCCCCAUUCAACCCCCCAUUCUCCUCUCAGCCCAAGCCAUUCUUUCCUCUUCCUCCUCAUCGUCCUCUGCUUGAUGUACAAGGUUUGAUACUGACACCCACUUUACAUGAUCUUUUCAAGAGUUUCUCUUUCCUGCAAAUCUUCAUUUACAACCAUCUCUUACUUACCCCUCUCAUGCAGUACUGCUCCUCUUUUAUGGGUUAUUUUCCUUUCAUGAUAUUCACCACCAAAAUCCUUGACCAUUCAGUAACCUAUGAUCAAGAAAUGCUUAAUUAAAUACCAACUUCCAAAUCAACCGCACCCAAUUGUAGUUCUCAAUACACUUGACCUUCAUGCGCAGCUGUAAUGUUCUCUGAACUCUCAACUGGAAGUCCGUAACUGACUAGAUCUUAUUCACUCUCUAGGGCAUGUUUUUUAGCGCUCCAACGUUUUGAACUUUUGCUAUGAAGAAAUGGCUUUUGUGGGGUGGAGGUCUUUCGUGGAACCAUCAUCGUCACUGCAGAGGAGCACAGUGGCAGUUUUGUAGUUUCAAACCAAACGAAGCCGUAGCUGGCACAUUUAAAUUGAACUGUCAAGUAAUAACAGGAGAGAGACACACACAGAGAGAGAUCUAGAAAGAGAGAGAUUUGGGUCCGUCCGGUUCAAUUUUCCAUGAUCCACAUGCACCAACGGGUAGUAGGGUCUGAAAAGAAAUUCUAUCUAUUCAUCAAUCGAUGUUAACGUUGGGGGUCCAUAUGCCUUUGAAAAUGCGACACGUGUCUCUUCCCCCGCUCCUUUGGGGUCUAUUCUGUGAACUUCAUUUCCUGGUUUUCUUGCUUUGUUGCAUAAUUUUUGGCUCUGCUGUCCUAGCUUCACAUCACCUACCCCCCACAACAACGGAAGAAAUAUUUAUUCCUGGCCAAUUAUUUAUGUGUAUAAUCCCACUGAAUUGAGCCUUCCAUUAUCUUUGUAUCAAUUAAUGGCCACACAAAUAUUAUUUCAAAAAUAAUAUGAAAAUAUAUCCAUAUAUGAAUAUUCUCCGGUGAAAAGCUAAAAUCUCUUAAACUACUUAAGAUAUAUGCGUGAGUUUAAGACCACGAACCAUUCGCUAGUGGAUAUCAACUACCCUAAAGCCAUGAAUUUUUCUUUUUUCCGUCUUUUCUUUCUCUUUCGUUUCCAAAAAUGUAAUGAGAGCAACAUAUGUCUUGUCAACAAUGAUUGGGCUUGUGCCUUAAUUAAGCCAAAAUUAGGUUAAUUAUCAAUGGCCAUUUUGGAACCAUAUCACAUGCACCAUAAUGGGACAGCCUAGCCCAGCAUUGAUGUCUGAUUUUUCAUUUUUAGCUUUAGUUGAAGUUAAAUUUGAUCAAGUUAAAGCAAGGCUUUUCUAGAAAGAAAACAUUAAAUCUUACUUAUGCAUUAUAAACUCUUUUUUAAGUCAAUAUAUUUUUUAACAAAAUUAGACAAAUUGGUAGGAAAACUCUUCUUGUUGAGCUUAAAAGCAAUUUUAGUGGAGAGCACAUCUGACUGUUGAUGCUAGUAACCACCCUUGGGGUAAAAUGUUGUGUUAUUAAGAUUGCAGAUUAUGAACUUGAUCCUAACAUCAAGAAAUUAAUCUUGGGCAUGGCGCCCUACUCUCGUGUUUUUAGCAUGAAAUCGGUUGUUAACAAUAAUAAUUCUUGUAUAAAUCAUUGUCAUCAUUCAUGUUUGUGAAUCGAAAUUCAUCUACAAUCAUCCCACAUAAUUGGUCCCAAAACCUUGCAUUCAUCAUUGUAUCAUAUUUAGGAUAGGUAACGUAAUCAAUGAGUCUAUUAGUUUUGAUGAAAAUAUGUAAAUAGAUGAAAUUUGUAGAUAGAUAAAAACAUCAAACAUAGUAGUUGUGAACUAAAUUCCUUGAACUAAGGAAGCAAUGUAGCCGGUGUUCCAUUAACAUGUCACAACAUCAAUAACAUUUUAAUUUGAAAUGGAUGCAUUUAGAUUAUUAAAGGAAAAGAAAAGGGGGCCUGACAACCCUAACCAUGACAGAGGAGAUCUAUAAGUGUACAACUUAGUUGUAUUUUCAAUCAUCAUGGGAAGAAAAAGAAUGAGAAUGGAUCAUUGACUUGAAGAAUGGAUGAGUUGUAAGGAUAGAGAAGUAGACUUAAGAAUUGAUGAUUACGUGCGCCAACUCUAGGCCAACUUUAUUUAGAUGGAUUGGCCAUGUUAUGUGGAAUGCCGAGUAAGAGGAACAUAUACAUGGUUACCUUGCAAGUAGACUCGUGAAAAAUGGAAAAAAAAAUAAAAAGAAAGGAAAGGUAUAUGUAUAUACCUUUGCAAGAGGCCAUCCCUUGGUUAAUCAAGUUGAGCUCGUCCACUUGAUUAGGUCAACCUAUUUAUUUAAUAAUUUUUUACAAAAUAAGUUGAUACAUGUCCAUGGAUGGAAGCUCGCAAAUUUGAAAUUUUGAAGCCCUACAUGCCUUGAGAAAAGAAGAGAAACAAGACAUGUAUAGAAGAGAGGAUAAGAGGGUGUAAUGUGGAAGGUGGACAUGGUUUGACCGCAUAAUCCAGAGUGUUGGAAGACCAAGGGUGUGGAGGUGGGAGAGAGUAAAGACGCGUGGGUGGCGCUGACAGGGAGGUGUCCAGAGCAGGGCAGAGCACGAGCGCCGUGGGAGACGGCUCACUUCACUUUCUCAAUAACAGAGUUGAGUUGAGACUUGAGAGUGUGAGAAAGAGUUGAAAACUUUGGGAUUCUCUUUCUUUUAAUAUUCUUUUUCCAUUCAUUUGGCACUGUAACAACUCAGAAAAGGUCGCAUGACCCUCGGGCGCAAACCCAUGAAUAAAGAUGCUCUUUGUCGGGCUCUCUCUUAUGCCCCUCUUUGCUAACCUCAUUGCUGUGGCCCCCAGCUUCCCCUUUUUUAGAUCCUCAUUCACUUCCAACUUCCAACUUCUUCAACCCUCCUCCCCCUCUCUUUUAAUCUUAUCCCCAUCCCUCAAUCACUUCAUAAUGGCAUUCAGUCCCACACACCCAAUUCAAUUGCACCAUGUGGGGAGUCUUAUUACUUAUAUCAUUAUCUUCCAUUUCUGGCCACACCAUGUCCUUUUCUAGUUACAUAGGAUUUCUAUUUUCCUCUCUUUUUCUUUUACUAGGAGGAUUCCAUGGUACCACCUUUGUGAUUCUCAUGAUGGAUCUGUGACUAGCCUUUUUUUCUUCUUUUUUUUCCCAUGUUUACUUGUACUUCGUUAAUUCCCUUGCAUCCCGGCCCCCUCAUUUUCUGAGGAUACAAAGAUUAUUAAUACGGUACCAUUUGAAAGGGUAUAGCAGUAUUCAAAUGUUUCCUCUUUUUGUCUCAUUAAUGCCAAAAAAUCUAACCUAAAUUUCCAUGAAAAAGGUUGAUCCUGUAAGAACGCAGGUCUGUACGAAAAUAGUUUCCCUUUAUUGAAUGGGAAGUGAUGACUUGACCAUUAACAAAGGAAAACUCAUCCAAGAGAGAGGUGGUUGAAUGGAUGAACAGGAAUCUAAAGUAGUUAUAUGGCCCUGAAAUUAAUUAAUUAAUUAAUUAAUCUCAAGUUGAUGCCACUCUACUCUUUUGUCUUUCUCGUUGGAUGGGUCUGCGCUCUCUUCUCAACCACUAAAAAAAAUAUGAAGAAGAAACAAAGUCAUAAAACUACAACCCAGCCAUGUUAAAGACCAGUCAAUGGAGAACUCACCGGGUCAACAUCAUCCCAACAGAGGUUUAAGCCAUUGCUUUGUUCACACCUCUGUCGUUUUGCUUACCUGCUUCAUAUUUUAUACUGCUACUGAUUGCAUUAAUUAUCCAUAACAUUAUAAAUAUAAUGGGAAGUCAGUAACUUGAUCCUUUCAUUUCUCCAAGGGUGUCCCUUUCCAUUUUCAAAAACUUAAUGUAACUUAUUGGAGUUUCAAAAAGAUAAUUAAUAAAUAAGAUUAACUGAGUUCAUAUUCGUAAAUUAUUUAGAUUGAAAAUGGGCUGAUUGAUUAGUAGAGAUGGACAUAAAGUCUUGCCAUCCAUCAUGUUUUACAGGAUCAAGGUAUUUGCUGGAUAAGAAUUGAACAUAUGCAUCACAUGUGAUUCUUUAGAAAUUAUUGAUAGAUUAAAGCCAGUACUAUUAUCAAUUAAAAGGAAUUCUACAGUACUUCACAUGUCAUGUGCUUAAGAACCCUAACUUCAACUAGAAAAGAAAGAAGAAGAACUUCAUGGGGCCCAUCCACAAGAGAAUAGACCUGAUGGAAAUGAAAAGUUCCUGAGAACAUGUCUCAUACUCAUGUGAAUAACUAGGUUACCGUUACAGAAGUGCUGCAGCAAAACGGCUACACAAAACCAUCUGUUAUUAUUAUUAUUUUUUAGAAAUUCUUUUUGAAGUGUUAGCAUUGUCAUUAUUUUAUUUUCUUCACUAUCCCAUAUGGAUAGGUGGGGAUAUGAAGCCCUUGUACCCUUGUAUUUAUAUUGUUCUUCUAUAUAAACCACACCCUCAAUGUCAUCUUAAUAAUCAGGUGGGCUCCCAAUACCAUGAUUUUCAAGUUCACAAUAAUGGAUAUAUAUGGAUUUAUUUUGAUCCUUUUUCUGCAAGAAGCCUGCCUUUCGUGUAUUAGAGUUGUAUUAGCGUCAAGUUCACGGGCUCUAUGGGAAGAUGUAACCAUGACAGCCUGUUUUCAGGGUAAGGAAUUAUCAGCCCUCUGAUAAAAUUGAUCCCCAUGUGCAUUUGGACACAAUUCAUGGUCUUGGCUUAGCUGUGGGAAGUUAAAAUCAGAGCCAACUAUUAUACCCCAUGUUAGUCCAUGGGCAUGGGAAGUGUGGGGGUCUUCAAGAAAGGCAGGCUCUUGCCUAGAGAGAGCAGUAGAAGAUGAUGAUGAAAGAGGUGAGAGCUUAGAAACUGUCACAGCUUUGAUUCCAGAGACUUGAUAAUAUUUUAGAAUGUUAUCUUAAUCAAGUCCUUUGAUUAAACAAAUCAAUCCUUUACCAUCUUCCUAUAAACAACUAUAUUUAAGAAAGCAAAUAUAUGGUGGAUGGAGGAACCAUUCGGUAGAAAGCGGGGGAAAUGAAAAAAGAAUUAAAAUAAGUCCCAUGUGAGAGGCACCUAUCUCCUCGAAUCUGGCACAAUGUUGCAUGUUUCUGCUUGCUCACAAGCCCUUUCUUUCCGGUUCAAGGCUGUUACAUCUUAUCAUCUACUUGUGAUCCAGGGAGGACAAACACAAAGCUUUCAAACCUGGGUUUAUAAUAAUUAACUCUAAUGCGUAGAGUAUGGCGAUUAUCUUAUAGACUUAGGAAACGACAAAAUUGAGGCCCCCAUGUGAUCCAUGGCGACAGAUUUGGAAUCACGUUGGUAAUAGCUUCACCCUGUGCUUGAUCAAACCUGUACUCAAUGCACCAGCAUUGCAACAAGUCUUCUCCCACACUGCUAUGCCCCAUGGUUGAUAAUCAUGGAAUUUGACCUUGAAUCAAUGACUUGAAACCCUUGUACUUCUUUUAGAUCUUUGUUUGCGUUGUCUGCUAAUUUUUCUUAUCUGUAUUAAACAUGUGUAUUAAUACACAGCAGAAAUGGAAGUACCAUUUAAUAGAAUUAGAAACUGCAUUCAUCCCAAUAAAAGGGAUCCUGGAAAACAUGACUGUUGGCUAAAAGUGCAACCUAGGGUUAUAAGGAAUAUUUUUAUGCAACUUUUAACUUAAAAACUCUAGAAUUCAGUUCCUUAUUGAAAAGUAGCAACCAUAUAUAAAGCAGUUCCAAUGCAAUGAGGAAUUUGCUUCAUGAUUUGAAUAGAAGAAACUAAUAACGGAAAUGGGCUUUAUUAAUAGUUCUUAGCAAGGAGUACUAGACAAAGGUGCUCAAAGUUUAAUAUAAACCUAAAGUAUUUCAAAGGUGUACGGACCGGCUAAACUACGAAGAUAACAUAUAUAUAUACGAGUCUAUAUAUGCUUGGUGUUAAAAUACAAACUGCCCUUCAUUUAAUUAUUAACCGUACUCAACAAGCUUCAAAAAUGUUGAUUUCGUCAUGAAUCUGAUCAAUAUUCUAACAAGAUAGCAAUCUAUGGGAAGGAAAAACAAAAGUAAUUGUUGUAAUCACAUGAAAGAUAGGUAAUUAUAUUAUAGUACUACAUGCUGAAAGAGUUGUUUGUUGUGUGUGAGGUCCAAGGACAAGACUGUUUGUUCUUCUAUAGUAACAUAUGUGGGGAUUCAAUACAAAUUUAGAUUCUUAGUCACAAGUUAUGGCCUUAUAGCUAAGCUAACAGACAGCCAGGUGGAACCUGAGAAUGGUGUCUGUUGGGCCUGGCCUAAAGCCUGGGUUUGUCCCACAAUGCCUGACCCAAGGGCCAGCCCAUUUUGAUUGGAGUCCAAUCUUACCUAUUACAUUUCAGUGAUUUCACUAUGCUGAUUGGUUAUUCUAAGAGCAUGGUACAAGUUGGUUGGUAAAUCUCAAUUAUGCAUAUAUAUUAAAAAAGAGAAUCAUCAUCUCUAGUCACAAGAAUAUAUUGAACCGUCCUUCAACAGCGUUACAGCAAGCAAGUAGCUAGUUGGACAGAGUAGAUAUAAAUUCAACUUCUGCUAGGGUUUUUUUACUUGGGUCUCCUUUCCUACCUGACUACUAGUCUAUGGAGCUUAUAAGAAGAAAAAUGUGUAGUCUUCUCAAUAUUUUGUGCCUGGAGUACAUGUUUUCUGCACGGAAUCUCGCUGAAUUAUUGGAGGCAUGCCCGAGAACAUUGCUUUAACCAAGUUGUAUCCAUCAAGAACACAUCAUCUUUGUCGUCAUCAUCUUUAAGACUAGAAUUAUGGAUACUAUUUUAAAGGGCUUAGUGGCUUUGUAUUUGUUGGAAUCUAAGGAUUGGACACAGCCCCAUUUGAUACCAGGAAUGGGCUUGGCUGAUUUCAACCUAUUUCUUUGUACAGUUGAUUAAAUAUUUCACAAAUUUUCAUGGAAGCUAUACUAUAAAUAGUAAUAUGAAAAUCCAUUCUUGGAAAAGUCCUGAAACCAACAUGAUAUUUCACUGUCCGAACCCUCAAAUGGUGGGCUAGAUAUGACAAGGUGUUGAUCAUUGGAAUCAAACCCUAUUUAAGGGUCAAUAUGUUAUGAUGACAUAUAGUGAAAAUUUUAGUGCAGACCUUUUGGUAGAUCUAGCGGCAGUGAAAAGCCAUCAAUGAGGGAAGAAACUCAGGCUGGAUUCAAUGACUUAGAAUUCAGUGGAACUAAAAACAGAAACCCCUGAAUGGUACAAAAUUUCCUUGUUUUUAUGCCAUAUAUUAUUUGUAUAGCCUUGUUGGAGUUUUCUAAGACUAGCUCAAGCUUUCAUGUUUGAUUGUCACCAAGCACCCAUCUUUAUCAUCCAGACAAAGCAAAGAGGUCCACCUCUGAUCCCACUACAAUCCGAUAUAAUUAUGAAAGGACAAAGGAAAUCUCUCCACUAUUUCCAAAAGUUUCUUUCUUUUUAUUUGUUUUUUUCCAUAUCUAUGCGGAGGCCAUUUCGCACAAACAUCAUAUUUUAAUCCUAAGAUAUGAGUAUGGCUUAUGUUGCAUAAACAUUAUAGGACUGCUUCUGUAGUUUCCCCCUUAUUUUUCCAGAUGGACACACAGAUUUUUCAUUUAGGGAAGAAAAAAGCCUUGCUGGUUGUGUUUGAGAUCCAUGCCACCCGUUGGCCUGCUAAGGUUCUAAAUGGUAUUCUUGCACAAAUUACUCAACAUGGCCCUUACAUUUCAUUUUGGGAAGCAUCCUAAUUAUCGAAACUGAGGCAUACUAAUUAUUCAAGUUGCAGCUCCAUAGCUGAUAAGAGCGCAUUUGAGCCUGAAUCAAUAAUAAGAAUCCAUGAAACUGUCUCCCUUGCACCCAUGAACUUCUUCAAUUCAAUAUAUAGCCAUCACUAUUACAAUCCAAAUCUGUCCUUAUUUUCAUCCCUUUUAACCAAAUAUUUCUAUUUUGUUUCUGGUUCCUUUUUAGCUGUCAACUUGUCAUGCCCCAAGCAGAACACUUCCCUGAGCUCUAGUAAAUUUUCCCAUCACCAGUAGUAUCAAUGAGCUUAAACUCUUGCUUAAUCAGCCGGUUAGACCUUCCAUGGCAGCAAACGAUGAGCAAUUACAACUCCAAAUUAAACUAGUAGGUCAUCUCUGGAGGCUUUGAAAGAUGAAGACAGUUUCCACCCACUUGUCUGAACAGGCUUAGGUAAAGAAACACUAGGAGAGUUGGGAUGGCAGAGUGAAUAAAAAAGGAAACAGAACCCAAGAUGAUUGGGAGCUUCCAAUAAGAAUAGUGUAUGUGGAGUGGCUGUGUUUUUAGAAGCUUCUCAUUUUACAAUGAUUUAUACGUAGGUAAGAAGGCCCUACAGAGGACCAAAGACUGGCUAAAAGACUUGGUGGAUGUACUCUCCCUGCCAUGUGUGGAGUGAGAGAGACUGAUGCAGACAGUCAUUUUCAUGUGUUUUGCAGACCUGGGUACAGGUAUCUAGUAUACACAUAUAUAGGAUGGAAAUGUCGGAAUAUCGGCCAUCCGAUUUUUCGGUUUCCCGCGAUAUUUUGGCUCAUGCAUCCUUGCUGAAGCCCAAUCCGCACCUCAACAGUGCACCAGAUGGGAGCAUCCUUUCUUAAAAACAGCUUCAUUUUGCUCCGCAUUUCUGAUGUGGGAUUCACUUUCAGACAUUAGAAAUUAUAAACCCAAAGCAGACCACCAGGACUUGAACCUGGCAUUCUACAUGAAAUUUAAGUCACUUGCAAGUAAAGCUGUGUUGGUUUUGGUUUCUUAAGAUGUACAUAUAUAUAUAUAUAUAUAUAUAUAUAUAUAUAUAUAUUAGUUCAUAAAAUAAAAUUUACUAGUAUAUAUAUAUUAUAAAAUAAUUAAAAUAAAUUUAUUGUAAAUAAAUAAAAUUUAAUUAUAGUAAUUAAAUAUAUAUAUAUAUAUAUAUAUAUAUAUAUAUUUAUAAAUAAAAUUAUUAACAUUUUUAAAUAAAAAAUACUUUAUAUAUAUAUAUACAUAUAUAAACAUUUCUUUUAUAUUCUUUAAUAUAUUCAAAAUGCCUUAUACCCUUCAAAAUAUAUAUAUAUUAAAAUAACUUCAAUAUAUGUUUUUUUAAUUACUUUUUUGGAUGUUUUUAUCAAUUUUCAUCCACUUAUAUUUUAUUUCAAAAUAUGAUCAAUAUUUUUUUAUACAUCUCCGUCAAAUUUAAGUAUCAAUAUAUUCAUAUUUACCACUAUUUUCUUCAGCAGCAUUUUUUCAAAUGUGUGAUGUUUGGUAAUCAUGGCGUUAAUUGUGGCUUGGUGCUCAGCUUCAAAUCCAAAAAAUUUCAGUACUUAAUUGUUAGAGCUCACAUUUGAUUGCCCCAGAAGCUGCUGAGGGGAGUGCGCUACUCUCGGUGCUGGCCAGUGCUUACACAGUCAGACUGUCCUUGUUUACAAUUUAAUAUGUAAAAUGCUUUGUUUUAUGCCUCUUAUGGCUCCCAAAUACAAUUGGCUUGACCCAAUCCAUCAUAUCUUUCUGUAAUCUGAUUAUGGUUCAAGUCUUCAAAUAAUCAAACCUAUUGACUCAUAAUUCAAUAGAAAAUUCACAUUCAUUGUUGCACCCUUUCUUGGAAGAAGACUCUUCUGCUUGACAUUAACCUGGACAAAGUGAAACCUGAGUUCACGGACUGGUGGCACCUCACUGGCUAACUUCAACACCAUUGAAUGCAACUGCUGCAUCAUGCAUAGAGUCGUGCCAUCUUUGAAAGUAUAAAGGAAACCAACGAGACCGAUCAUGCUCCAACUUUUUCUAUGAUAAGAAAGCUAGAGGCCUGUGAUGUGGGUGCAGAGUGAUUGAUGGAGAUUGCUUUCUGAAAAUUAUUGGUGACCAAACAACUGUGUUUGUAGACCUUCUGUCGUUGCUAUUAGUCUCGUCCAUAACUUAAUGCUUUCUAUUUUCAAUUGGUUUGGCCUUGCCUUUAUCUCAGAUUCUCAAAUAUAGAGAAAUAAGGUGCAUUCUUCUUUAUUUGCUGAGGGUAUAUUCUUAUCAAAGUUGAACUUUAUAUUAAAUUCCAUCAUCUUUUCCUCAUCCUUUAACAUCAUUUUGAGUGCUCUAUAUUCCUGCCGAUUAACCUUACAUCAUUUGCAAAGAUCAUGAACUGCAGAAUCUCUAGGAUGACCAAAACUUCAGUCAAAAUAAGGGCAUACUCCACUACAAGUGCCCAGUAGAUUAAGGGAGUUGGUGAUAUGUGUGACAACCAUGAUGUUCAUGGGGCAAUGCUAAAUCAUAAAGGCAUCAAAUAAUUAGAUAGUAGUCACUAGAAUUGAGGCGGAUACGCAAGCUUUAUCAAUGGGGAACAAGUGGAAAACAAAGUGGCCAUUAUAAAAAAAGGGGGAAAGGAAAAUGAAUGAUGAUGAACCCAUAUAACCAUUUAGUCUCUCUGUCCCCCUAAAUCCUAAUAUUUCUGUACUAGCAGUGUUUUAUGGUACCCAAAAGGCUCCAAAUGUGGUGUCCACAAACAACUAUUUCGAUUCACAAGUUCCCUAAAAACUUAAGCUCAAAAAAUCACAGACCAUUUUGUUUUACAGUUGGUUUUUUCAUUUCAGAAACAAUAUCAAAUGGGCAUCACUAGGUUAAUGGUUGAUAUUGACAUUUGUAAGUGGAGAUCCCUUGAUGGUAAACUUUUUCAUAUUUCAUUUUAUACUUAUGUAAGUACCCACUCCCAACCAUGUAGAUAUUGAUCGCUCUGGGUCCAAGGGGCUCUCACGGCUUUAAAACGUGUUUACAUAGUUAAGAGAAGCUCAUAAUUAUAUAGUAUCAAGAAUUUUCUCCCCCAUUCGAUGUGGGAUAUUACAAACACCCCUCCAUGCAGACAAAACGUCUUCGUUGUGUCCCAUGGGAUUGCGGGGCCAAACAAACAAAUACCCUACGGGGUAAAACAAACCCUCAAUCCAAAGUCAAGGAUCGACUCUGAUACCAUUUGUAAUGACCCACACCCAAACAUGUAGAUAUUAUUCGUUUUGGACCUAAAGAGGUCUUCACAACUUUAAAACGUGUCUAGAUAAUUAAGAGGAACUCAUACUUAUAUAGUGUUAAGAACCUUCUCCCUUAUCCNNNNNNNNNNNNNNNNNNNNNNNNNNNNNNNNNNNNNNNNNNNNNNNNNNNNNNNNNNNNNNNNNNNNNNNNNNNNNNNNNNNNNNNNNNNNNNNNNNNNCAUGUCCUCAUUGUGUCCCAUGAGAUUACAGGACCAAACAAACAAACACCCCUCACAAGGCCAAAUAAAUCUCCACACUGGAGUCGAUGAUUGACUUUGAUACUAUUUGUAAAAUCUUUGUUUGUUUUUUCAUCCUAUAUUACUAUGAUGAAUGAAAAGUUAAAGCAAACAAAUAAAAUUAUAAGUGACUUUACAUUAGGAAAGUGAAAGCUCAGAUAUGAUGGCUCUUUUAAUACUUUGAGAGCUGAGUACCUUUGCUCCCCAUUCAGCCACCUAAUAGCUUGAGAAGCCAUGGAGGACCACACUGCAUUAUUGCCCACUCCCUUUUAACAACAAAUCCCUCUAAAUCUUUUCUCCACAUAUGUUACCCCUUGGAGCCAUUAUACGGCCAAGGUUUUUUAAAAUUAACCCAGUUGAAAUCUACCUAACCAAAUCCGAAUCUUACAAAGCAAAGCUAAUUUAGGCUUUGGUGGGAAUUUUAUUGGCAUCCUAUGAGUUGUUAGUUACGUCUCUUUUUCGUACCUAUCAAAUACCAAAUUUGAGCACCUGAAAAUGCUAAGAUACAAACAAAUGAAAUUCAGAAUACAAAUAAUGUAAUUUGAAAAUAUUAGCACUACCCAAUCGAUGGAGCCUUUUCGGUAUUGUACCAAAAAAGCACCUUUCUAUAUAUUAUAAUAUGGCCUGCAUUAUAAUAUGUCAUAGUAUUACACUACAAUCAUAACAAAAUUCUAAAUUAAUUAAUUUCACGACUCUACACCCUAUUUUCUAAAGCAAAAAGCAUUAAAAUAAAAUAACUAGUUAGAAAAAAAGAUCAUUGAAAAAUAUGCAUAGACAUGUUUUCCCCUCUGUUUUAAGUAAAUGGAGUUUCCCAUAUUAAUGCCAAGAGGUGGAUGGUUACGUCUUUAAGCUUCUUCGUCAAUGGUGAUAUGGAUGAGUUUUUCAGGUGUGUGAUUUCCUCUUUUAAACUAUACUACUUCGUAAAUGCCACUGAAUGCUAAUAUCCUCAAGAGAGAAACGUGGGGGGAAUGAAAUCUGUGUUAGCGUAAUAUCAUUCUCAUCACCCACUAUAAAAUCCACCACCAGCUCUCUCUUCCAUAAUUGGCGGUUACAAAAAGCCAGCUUUCCUGUUCUCCUUUACAGACAAACUCCUUCACGAAACCCAUGCACCUCUUCAUGUUCAAUGUCUAUCUAAAUACCUAAAUUUCUUAUCUUUCCUAGUCUUGGAGACCACCCCACCAUUCCAUUUUGCAACACAGAUGGAGAAGCUGCCUCACCUGCCCUCACCUCCCCCUCCCACACAAACGAUGCUAUCCGAGCUGAGGAAGCAGAGAGGAAUUGUGGUUCCCCUCAUGGUCAUGAACUUGGCUUGGCUGGGCAAGUGUGUCAUCACUACUGUGUUUCUGGGCCAGCUUGGAGAGCUGCAGUUGGCCGGUGGUGUGCUCGGGUUCACCUUUGCAAAUGUGACUGGCUACUCUGUGUUGAAUGGGCUCUGUUGUGCCAUGGAACCUAUAUGUGGUCAGGCUUGUGGGGCUAAAAAUGUUAGGCUUCUACACAAGACCCUUGUCAUGGUAACCAUCUUAUUGCUGACUACUGCAGUGCCUAUAUCCUUCUUGUGGCUCAACGUUGACAAGAUCCUCAUUUAUUUUGGCCAACAAGAAGAUAUUUCUAUGGUUGCCAAGACCUAUCUCUUGUAUCUCCUGCCCGAUUUGUUCGUCAUUUCAUUGCUUUGUCCUCUUAAAACCUACUUGAGCGCACAAAGCAUGGUCUUUCCUAUAAUGUUCAGCACGUCUGUUGCACUGGCUUUUCAUGUACCUAUCAAUAUCUUACUCUCCAGAGCCAAGGGUCUGAAGGGAGUUUCCAUGGCAGGCUGGGUAACUGAUCUCCUUAUUGUGAUCCUGCUUGCAUUUUAUGUGUUGAGGAUAGAGAGUAGCAAGGAAAGAAGAUGGAAGGAAGGAGGGUGGUGGGAUCAAGGAGUAGGCGACUGGAUCAAAAUGCUAAAACUAUGUGGUCCAAGUUGCCUCACCACCUGCCUUGAGUGGUGGUGCUAUGAGAUUUUGGUGUUGCUCGCGGGGCGGCUCCCGAAUGCCAAGCAGGCAGUGGGGGAGUUAGCCAUAGUGCUAAACUUUGAUUACCUGCUCUACUCUGUCAUGCAAUCGCUUGCUACAUGUGCAUCCACCCGUGUCUCGAAUGAACUUGGCGCAAACCAACCAGACCUUGCUUAUCAGUCAGCAUAUAUUUCCUUUCUGGUGAGCUUCGCCUUGGGUUGCAUAGGUGCUGCAAUGAUGGUCUCUGCCAGAGGUAUUUGGGGGUAUUUAUAUAGCCACGAUGCAAGGACUAUCAGAGGUGUAAAGAAGAUGCUGCCGCUAAUGGCUCCGGUGGAGGUGGUGAACUUCCCUUUAGCAGUUUGUGGAGGAAUAGUCCGGGGAACAGCUAGGAUGUCGUUGGCAAUGUAUGCCAAUCUUGGUGGGUUCUACUUGGUGGCCCUGCCCUUGGGCGUGGUUUUCGCUUUCAAGGCAGGGCUUGGACUUGGGGGACUACUAAUAGGGCUCUUGGUCGGUGUGGUUGUGUGCUUGGCUUUGUUGUUGGUGUUCAUUUUUAGGAUUGAUUGGGCUGAAGCAGCUGGCAAGGCACAAAUACUUGCCUGUAGGGAACAGGAAAUUGCCAAGGAAGAUGAAAAUCACAGAAUUUUGAAGACCCUCGAAAAUCCAUGAAUAUAAUUUCUCAGGGGAAAUUGAGUACUGUUGAAGCCAGCAUGCCACAAACAGCAUAUGCACUCAUAUGGAGACCUUGCAUAAAUCAAACAGGAACAGAGAUUGUAUAUAAACUUCAUGGUUCAUGCUUGACAGACCUGGUACUGUCAAAUUCUGAAAAAUUUUCAUCAGAAAGCUUAGAACAGCAUAAUCAAUCCAUCUGAUUAAAAAAACACAUCAGUAUCCAAAAUGAAUGUGUUAAUUGGAGCUAUUAACCAUCUAAAAAAUCCAGGUUCAGAACUUGAAACUCCAGCUCCUAGGCUUUCUCAUGCUUGAACCAUGGGCAGCUAUUAUCUUGGAAGUCACUGCAGCUUCCUUUCCAGACCAGAUUCCAAGGAGCAAAUGAUUUGUCUUACCUUCUCUAAUUUUACUUGCAUGUCCAUUAAUCAAACAAAAACGGUUUUUGUUUAUGUUGAAGAAUGAAAUAAGGAAAGUUGUGAUUUUGAAAAGAGAAUUAGGCAAUCCUGUGAUCAAGGGAUUUUGUUGUAAUUGAGUGAAGUCCCUAAUUUAGGUCCUAGGAUUUUUGUAUAUAUAUGUAUGAGUCUAUGUACAGAAAAUUAAUUAAGAAGAAGAAUUUUCUACCUUUUAUUCUUCAAUCUCUCUUCUACAUGGUAUCAGAACUCUAGGCUCAUCAAUUUGGGAAGAGAAGCUUUUUGGCCUUCAUUGCCGAGUUGAAAAUCGUAGCCGACCUUCAUCGUCGACCCUAAGGUAUCCCUCUUUGUGCUGCAAACAUAGCUUCACACUGACACAGUAAAACCUGAUCACGAACUCAGCGUGAAAGCAAUCGGAAACAGAACUCAGCGCACUGACUCAACAACCAUUGUCCUCGCACUGCCAUCUUUGUCUCCAUGGUGUCAUAUCCAUCUCUCGGUUGUUGCAAAAGUGGAUCGCAAAUGACCAUUGUGUUGUUGGAAAAGGGAACUUCCUGCUGUCACGCCACUAAGGUCGCACUGCUGCCUCACGCUGCCAUCCACUUUCCUCGCUGUUGCCAUUGCCAUAAGUUCUCAUUGUUGCUGUCGCCAUUGCUGUAAGUAUGCACCGCUGCUGUCGUCUUCUCUAUGUGCCGAAGUUGUCUUCUUCACUCCACCAUCAUUGUCGCACUGCAUUGUCGUCGUUGUCACUUCCUCACCGUCAGCUUCCACUUUCCCUCAUUAUCCCACCCUGGUGCCGUCAAGAACUCAUCGCACAAGAGGAAUCACACCAUCGCCGUUGCUGCAACCAAAGAUCUUUCCUUCUACAAGCAUUCCUUGCACUGUAGACAUAAUCAGAAAUCAAGAAUACCUGAUCUCUGACAUACCUCCAUCAUCGUCAAGAGUGUCGAACCUCCAACGCCAUCACUGUAGCCAUCGCCAUUCCACAUCGACAUCAGUUGGAGCUACUCGGGUCUCUAAUCCCAAUUGGUGAGUUCUUUUAACCAAAAGAACUCUUUUAUACUUUUCACACAAAAAAAAAAGUCUGAGGUAUCACAAACUACUAGCUUCACCAAUCCUUCUAAAGAAGUGAUUAGCACUUAUAACACAAGAGAAUUGCAGAAUAUUCAAGAGACAUACAAACUCAAUGAGAAGAAUUAUCUAAAAUGGUCACAACUUGUUUGUACCUUUCUAAAGGAACACUUGUAUGUUCUUGACAACUGCUAAAGACAUUUGGGAUGCAGUUCAUCAGACAAACUCAAGGGCACUAGAUGCAGCCCAGGUGUACGAAAUAAAAGCUAAGACCAAAGCAACUAAACAUGGAAACAAGACAGUCACGGAGUAUGCUAAUAUGUUGAAAAACCUAUAGCAAGAACUUAAUCACUAUUGUUAUAUUGAGACAAAAUGCCCUGAGGAUGCAGCAAUCCUAAAGAACUGCAUUGAAAAGGAUCGAGUCUACGAUUUCUUAGUUGGUCUCAAUGCUAAGUUUGACCAAGUUCAAGUUCAAAUACUUAGCAAAGAGCUUUCAACUUUGCAUGAGACUAUCUCCAUUAUUCAAGCAAAAGAAAGCAAGAGAAGUGUCAUGCUUGAACCUCAGAAUAUGGAAGGCUCGGCUAUGGUUGCUAACAAAAGGCUAGCACUGUUGAUAACAAAAUGACUGAUCGGUCAAAGGCUUCAAACCGUGAUAACAAGGAUAACUUAUGGUGCACUCACUGUCAGAAACCUAGACAUACACAGGAAAAAUGUUAGAAACUUUAUGGUAAGCCAACUACAUCUAGCAAAAAGUAGGGUUACAAAGGAGGAUAAUAGAGGAAUAAUGGGCAAGAAAACUUGUCCGUUGCUCAACCAAAUGAUGAAAAAUCCUUGGAAUAGGAUGAAUUCAAUCAGGAAGAGAUUGAAAAAAUAAGAGCUUUGUUG